rnacentral:lncRNA from 1 species
AGUGGGGUGAGUCGAAAACUGAACUUUCAUGAUAUUUUAGUUGUUUGUGUGUGUAUGAGAAACUUUCUCUUCUAUAGUUUAAACUGUCGCUUACAAUAAAUAAAAAAUUGAGUUUGACGAUAAAAAAUUACUUAUUAAAUAAAAACCAAAGAGAAAAAGAAAGAAAAGAAGGGCAAAACCUUGACUUUCAACAUUGUCAUCCAUAAUCAAUCAUAAUCAAUCAUAAAACAAAAAGUCUCAUACCCACAUGCAACCCACCAUUGAAUUUGUUGACCAGAGGCCUAGGCCGUUUGAUUAAAGGGCAAUCAAGUAGAUUCCAUGCAUGUCUGAGUUUGCUUCCACACUGUAUAUGUUUCACCCCGCUAUACCAAUUUGAAAAAGCUUUCUCCAAAAGUAGUAUAGGCUAAAAAAGCUUUUUUUUUUUCUUUAAAUAAAGAUCUUUUAUCUUCUUCUUUACAUGGAGAAGUCAAAUCCAUGUACAGUAACAGUAGAGACCGACAAGAAAAAAAAAAAAAACAGAACCGACACCUUCCAUGCUUGCAGUGUUGACAAAACUGUAGCCUCUAGGCAAGAAAGAGGGAAGCAAGAGGCACUCUUUUUUCAAAAAGUGCUUCUUCAUAGUCAAAUGUUGAGGCAUCUGCCAAAGAAACUUAGCCCAACUGUUUUCCCCAAAAUUUCCAAACAAUGCCAACCUUUUGUUCACAUCAAGAUCACGAUCACCUAACGUUUUAAUUAGAAUGUAAAAGCCAAAAGCUACAAGCCUCUAUAUUUCAUAGUAACGGCCAAAUCUAUGUACAUUUUGUCAACCAAUCGUUCAAACAAGUUGAUGGGCCAAUGGUUCAUUGGUGAAUGUGUUGUAUUUCAUUGGCUGUUAUUUUUAGAAGAUUUUGCACAUAAUUUUGCAGCUUUUUUUUUUGAUGAAGUCCAAACAGCAUUUAUUGCAUUUGACGAAUUGAUUGGAAAUAUACCAACUUCCAACUUUCAAGCCCUAGAGAUGCAAAAGACCAGGGUGCACUCAACUCAUCAUGUACCUCGACAUCACAAAUCUGGAAGGGAGUGUUUUCGUAUUUUGUAGGAAAAUUAAAUGCUGGUUACCAAUGCAUCAAACUUGUAUUUGUGUAGGGGGACAUACAUAGAUUCCAAAUGAUUCUUUUCAACUCAUAAUAUCACACCGUAUUUAAUCAUUUCAAAAAUAUUGUAUUUAGUAUUUUCAUGAUUUUUCAAACAAAAAUGCAAUUAUAUUGUCAAUAAUAAUUUUAUUUAUUUCAGCGUUUAAGAUUAUUUGUUCUUAACAUUAUAAUGUACUUAUAGCUCACACGAAAUAUAUUAAUAGUAAAAGUUGAACAUAAGAAGAGCAGUAAAUUGAUUACAUGUUUUCAUCUACACAAUGAAAAGUGGGUGGUAAGUUUUCGUCGAUGUGGAAAACAAAAAUUCACUAUACGUAUACGUUUGUUUCUCAUAUCAUCCAAUUGUGAACCAGUAAUAUCACUUGUUAUUUCUUACGAUGAUGUUGUGCACUAUUCUAGUUUCCUUUCAUUUAACGAUGUCAACUUGGAAGUUCUAGCUUGGUCUCCAAGUUUGCUGGCCUAGAUUUGACCAUCAAACAGUGUUGCACAACGUACGAAUUAAACAUAUUACAAAUACACAGUUGAACAGUUCAUUUCCUACCUAAAAGCCUUAUUAAGCGAUCAAAUGGUUGGCAUAAGCAUACAUGGUAGUUGCCAGUUGGCAAUUGUUGGACCGUUGAUGAAGCAUACCUAAAUUAUAUUCUACAAUUCAACUAAAUAAAAAUAAAAGUGCCCCCAAGAUAUUGUGAUAUUUCAAUAAAUGUACAUUGUACGAAUUAAAAAAUAAAAUAAAACUGGGAAAAAUAAUUGAAAUGAGUCACACAUCAGUUAAAAGCACAUGGAACUUGGGAGAUGGCAACAGCUGUUGAUAAAAGCAGUUUUUCUUGGAGAAUGAGUAACAGACGUCAGGAGCAGGAGCAGUCAGGAGAUGUGAAAAAUCCUUAAUGUUUUCAGCCAGAGGUGUACCUGCUUGUCUGUUGACUCGGCCUCAGUGUCUUCUCUUCUGUUCAAAUCAAAUGGUUUCAUAUAUUUAUUUGUCACAAUUUGUUUCAUCCAGUAGGGUAUGAAUUAUGCAAAUAAUUUAUCGUUUAAUUCGCAUACAUUUUUAGCAAUUUUUUUUUUUAAAAAAACAAUGGCUUAAGGUGUUUUAAUACUACUUGUUCAAGUAAAUAGGCAUGUCAUCAUAUGAUCAAAUGGAUGUCCCUCUGUCCAGUUGUAUUAAACUUAUUUUAAUAGUUCUAGAAGGAUCGAUUAUUUUGUUAUCUUCUCUUUGUUAUUAGAAACUACAUGUAGGAUGUAGGAAUUGUUCGCAUCCUAUUUCUCAUAGAUUAGAUUAAUUUAGAGAUAAUCGCUCGUAUAAAAAACAAAAACUAUAUAUAUAGGAGCUUAAUUCUUAUUUGUACAAGAAUUAGGAAGAAGCUAAAAACCGUUUUUUAGUCGUAAAAAGUUAAAAAAUUAGAGAUAGAAAAACGUAAGUAAAACGUUGAAAUUUGGUGAUACAUUUUUCUUCUUUAUUACUUUGUUCGGCUUUGACUUCUACUCUUGUCCUACACAAAGAAGAAGAAAAAGAAACAUUGUCAUGUGGGUUUUGUUAGGGGGAAAAAAAGAAAAGGAAGAAGAAGAAGAAGAAAAUUGGUAAAUUAACUUGGUGUAUGAUUCUAUCACAUGGGUGCAAUCACGUGACUGCAUGAGGCUCUGUAGUUUUUUCUUACAUUUCCACCCAAAAGAUUAUACAAUGGCAUUUACUCAAAAACAAAAACAAAAACAAAACAAAACAAAAUAUUAAACCCUAUGUUGUGCACGUGUCAACACGUGCCUUGGAACCGUCCAAUCAAAAAAUAGACAAAAUUAAGCAUCUUCGUUCUGGUGUGAAAAUCUUGGUGUAGUUUAAUUUGAAUAUUUAUUUAUUUUGGAUAAAGUUGAACUGCAGAUAUAAGCAGGCGUAAAUUAAUUAUUGAAAUAGAUUGACUGACUUUGUUAAUUACAAUCGUACAUCUCUCAUCAGCACAAUCCUGGUCAAAUGUUGACAAGAUUCAUUCAGCAUGUUCCUUCUCCAGUGAAAACUUAUAUUUAUAGGUUUACUUUUUUUUAAUUAUUUUUUUGGGAUGAAUUGCGUAGACUUGAAUUGUUGAACUGAUUGACUAACUUUGUUAAUUACAAUAUCUAGGAGAUUCUUCUUGGUUAUUUGUAAUUAACUAACAAUCAUCAAGUGUACAUAAGAGGGGCUUUGAUUAAUCAUAGUCUAGAGUUCUGAUUUUGGUGAACAAAUUUGUUGAGUCGGGGUCAGGUGUGUUGUCCCCUCAUUGUAAUUCUUCGUUUUAUCAAUAAAAUUUCUCUCGUUCCAUCGAAGUUCUCUAAAAAAAUAAUAAUAAGAGGGGCUUUGACUAAUCAUAGUUUAGAAUUCUGGUUUUGGUGAGCAAAUUUGCAUAUGAAUUACCAAAACAACAACUUUUAUGGUAUAAUUAGUAUGCAUUGAGAUAAUAAUUGGAGUUUUCAAAAAUGAACUCAUAUGAUUAACAGAAUAUGGUUCAUUAAUUACUCACAAGCUUAUUCUACAAAACCCAAUUAUUGAGAGGGAAAGGGGUAUGCAAAAAGAUAGAUAACUGUGACAUUGUUUUGUUCGUUUUCUGUUGGUAGUAGGUACCGCACUUCCUUUGUCUUUGUAUAAUUUUUGUGGGUCAAUGAAUGUUGUAUUAGUAUCCUAAGUCUUUGGAUAGAUCUGAGCUCAGCCCAAUUUUAACACUUGGGCAUCUGGAAACGAAGCCCAAAAUAAAACCCAGAUCCACAACUAUAGAAAAUCACAAUGGACUUUAGCUUCCAAUGUUGGGGUAAUAAGCUGGAGAUUCCAUAGUGUGGGGCAAAAUAGUAACAGUGAAACUUACAUACAUCGGGUUGAUAUAAUAGUUGUGUUUACAACAUUUGUCUAGUGAUUAGGUUAAGUGUUGUGUACUCUUGUUACAAGAUCUAGCACAAUGAAAAAGAGUCUUGACUUGCAGACCAAUGAUCUCAGGUUUUAAAUCCUGAACUGCCAAUUUUUCGUUCUAAAUGCCUAAGUGAAGGGAAAAUUGGGUGUAGAGAUUUCUAAAAUCCCAUAAAGCUAUGAAGGAACAAAUCAUAUAGCCUAUGCAUAUCAUAUAUGAAAUCAAAUAAAGCGGAAACAAGAAAAUAGCUAGAGAUUCAUACUAGUCUCUACUUAGGUCCCAAUUUUUAUAGGUCUAUGACAGUUUGCACCAUUGACACCAAUAUCCCAUAUUAAAGAGAAAGUAGAAAGUGAGGUUACCUUUGGAGCAUAUCUUGAAUCUCAAAAUGAUAUUCAAGUAGAGGGAGUUGUCCCUUAAUUGUUGAUUCUCCACCUUGGUCUCGAAAUAGGCACAAAAGAGGUUAUGCUUCCCCAAAGUAUCUUCACCAAGGUAGAAUGAGAAUGAGAGAAUAAGGAACCAAGAGAAGAAAAUGGGUGCUAGUCUUUUAUUCCCUAUGGUGGCCGGCCAAGUGAGACUAGGGAGGAUGCUUGAUGUCUUCCUCUCUUCCUAAAUGCCUAACUUGAAACCCUAAGGAGGUUUGAUGUUAUGUGUAUGAAUUUAUAGAGACAUUUUGUCACACAUAUGUCCCCGAAAACCCCCAUGUACCGCAUCCUCCCUCUUCUUGGUCUUUUUGGGCUACUUUGGUCCACCACAUUAAUCCCUUAGAGCACUUCCACCCCUAUGGGCAAGGGCAAGGUAAGGGCUCUCACUAUUCACGUGAAUAGUGGCAGCCCUUGCAAUUUUGUUUUCACCCCAAUGAGUAAGGGCAAUUACUAUUCACUUUAAUUUAUUUUCUAUUUUUUAUACUUAAACUUUAAAAAUUAAUUUUAUUAUUUAAAAUUUAUAGAAAAAAAAAAUAUAGAAUUUUUUGGUAUUUUUUUUUCAAUUUUUAUUACAUAAAAAAUGGCAGUCAUUGGAUUGUAGUGAAAAAUUUGAUAGGACGCCCCGGGUGCUGCCACGUGUCUUGUGGCAGUGGCAAACAAAUUUGAAAAGCGUGCUAACGCCACGACGUCAGCAAACCUAAGCAACCACACGGGCUGGAUCUACCUUUGGGCUUGCCCAGGUUGGUGGCCCCACGUCUUACUCGGGAUGCUUUGUGCGCGCCAGAGUCAUCUCACAGGCCUAGGGCCCCUCCUGCUCGGGCCAAACUGUUGCGGUGAACUUGCUCUUAAUAUGUCAUAUUUUGCCUAAGUCCAUAAGGUCCAUUCUUAUAAAUAUUUAAGUUAUAUAGGACUAAAAUUAAGUUCCAUAACUUUAAUUAAUUCAUUUAAGCUAAUCUAAUUUGUUUAAUUGAUUUGAUGACUUAAUCAAUUAAAUCAUUGUCUUGUCUAACAAACAUUGGUCCUUGUCAAGCAUUGGUCCUAGACUGCUUUCCGUUCUUAUCUUUAUUCAUUGACUUGAAACACAAAGACCGGAUUAGGUCGACCAAUUCGAUCCAAUUAACUGUUGAAAUUCAAAAAAAUAAAAUAAAAAAUUGAACUAAACUACUUAAACCGGUCUUAUUCGGUCGAUUUGGUUAGGUUUUCGUUAUAAAUGUCAUCCUAAUAAAAGGUGUACACUCCUAAAUAUACAAAAAAAGAAGUGUACGGACCAUAAUUAUUAUGUCUACUAGACUGGAUUUUGUCAUUUGCCUAUUGGGCCCUCGUAAGUUAUGAUUGAUUUCGCCAUCCAAUUACCCCAACCCUAAAUGUCCCAAACAUUCUAUUCUCUAGUACUAUAUAUGUAGCACUUUAAUAACAUAAUUUCUCUCUCUCUUUUCCUAACAGUGCACACUCACUCAGUACCAUAUACAUUGUCCAAGUGCUGAUCAUAAUCUGAGUGGAAACAACAGUAAAUCUAGAUGAAGAAUUCGUCAAAAGCAAACACACCUAGAGAUAUUCUACAAAUGCUUUUUUCUUUCGAGUAAUAAAAUUUCUCCGGUGAGCUGCGGUUCACAAAAAGAAAUAUGAAAAAGAUGCAAAGGGAUUUGCAUAAUUUUCCUGUUGCAAAGUCACAUUUUAAUUAAACCUCUGUUUUUCUUUCUUCUGGUCAUAAGUGUAGGAUAUCAAAUACACAGAAAAUUUGGCAGGCGAAUAGCCACACAAACAGACAAACAAAAAGCCACAAGCGAAAUCAGAAACAUCAUGAUUGAAAUCUAAAAUUGAAUGCUGAUGAAAUGAAAACGAAGGGCGGAUGGCUUGGCUUCUGUCCUUUUGUGCCAACGUGUGCAGUCACAAGCAUUGUAUCUUCAGUGUUGCUUCGAGAUCACGACAUAAUAUUUAAAUGGCCAUCGGAUCGAUAAGAUGCUUUUCUUUGCAUGGCUAACUAACCUAUUUGGUCCUCUUCUUCUCGCUAGCCUUAAUGGAAUUUGGACAGAAAUUCUGAUGCUACACUGAGAAAGAAUCAAAUCCAAAACGCAAAAAUAGGAAUUUGGAGAACUUUGCAUUGAAUUCAAUGUUUGGCAAAGCACAGCGCCAAUAUUUAAUAUGAAUGGCAAAUCUAAUCCCGGCCAACAAAUCUAAACCCCCAAAAAUCAAAUAUUGACUCAAUCCUUUUUAACUAAUGAAACUAUACCAAAAGAAUUUAGAAAAUUAAAAUUAUGACUUAUUUGGAAAUGCAUAAGCACUCCUAUUCAUAAGUACUUUUUUAAAGGCGCUUCUAUUAGAAGAACGUCAAAAAUUUUAUUUAAACUACAAAUGAGCAAUUGUAAGUGAUAUGGAGAAGUAUCGAGAAGUGAUUCCUAAAGAAUCACAUGCCUCUUCAAAAAAUGCUUUGUGGUCCAUAAGCACUUAUAAGUUUUUCUAUCAAACUCUAUUAGAAGUCAAAGAAUUUCCAAACAGACCCUUAAUUUAGAUAAUGUACAUCGUUUCUUUAUAGGGAUAUUGUUGUUUGCACAACAAAAAAAAAAGCCACUUGCAUUGCUAAAAUGCACGGAGAAGUACAUCAAACUAUCAUAUCCUUGCUUGAAUUCUUUUUUUUAGUACCUUUACUGGACAUUUCUAAAUAAUAAGCUCUAGUUGUGGUGGAACAUGACAAAAUGAUACUCAAGUUGGACCUAAGUCAAAUACCUCACCAUUACAUCACCAUACUCAUUUACAAAGUGUUUCAUACGUGUGAUAUUGAAGCACCAAUGAGGCGGUUCUGGGGUGGUGUAAGUAGUGCCAUCGUACAGAGCUCCCAAUUUUUAAGGGCCCUCGAAAUUUUGUUUUCUUUAUAUUAUACAUUAUUAAUAUUAUAACAAUCGUAUGUAUAUACUCUAACGUGCUACAUAUUGACAGAAAAGCAUUUGUAGUGGAGCUGGCUUUCCAGCGAAAAAAGGGAAAUAUCAAACUUUAACUAACCAGCAACAAUAUAUAUCCCCCAAAAUGAUUCCUCCUCCCUCCGAGCAUGCUAAUUCAUCAUAAAUUAGCACGAUAGAGUAUAUAUAUGAUAGUUAUAAUUAUUAUAUAUGAUCGUUUUGGGGUUAUACAACAAUCAUAUAUUUUUUUUUAAAUUUGAUUUCUAAUUUUCAUUACAUGCUAAUUUAUGAUGAAUUUUAGUUAUAAAAAAAUUAUUUUAUAACAUUAGGUUAUGAAUAUUUUUAAAAAAUAAUUUCCUAUUUAAGUUUCGCACACGACUCUUUUUACUUUUCCUUUGAGAUGUAAAUAUAUGUACCGACCUAUAUUUCCCCUUUGCCCUUUCUUGUCCUAAUCGCAUUAUUAAGCCUUUGAUGAAUGAAACAACCACAAACAAAACCAAAAGUUUGAGAAUACGAAAAAGGACUCCUUGACCCUAAAGCCAUCACCUUGACCAUCCGGAUACAUUGGAUUCAUGGCUAAUAUAUGCAUGGUCAUUAUGGAAGCUUCCGUCAACACGUGGGAACAAUUUCUCAGCCAGACUUUUUGACACGUGGCUAUUUGUGGCCCCUCCUUAAAUUUCAUAAUAAUAGCCUACAUGUGCUUUUUGAACCCAUAUAAAAUGCUGUUGCCCAACACUUAGUUUGGCCAUGCAAAACUACAUCAUAUAUGGACUCCAGAGGAAAGGUCAUGGAAGAGAAGGAAGGCGGAGAGGUUCGAUACCGGGGCGUGCGGAAGCGGCCGUGGGGCAAGUAUGCCGCUGAGAUUCGCGACUCAAACAGGCACGGUGCACGGGUUUGGCUUGGGACUUUUAACACGGCUGAAGAGGCAGCUAGAGCUUAUGAUCAAGCUGCUUAUGCCAUGAGGGGUGGCUUGGCCAUUUUGAAUUUUCCUACUGAGUACCCAGCAAGUGGUGGCUCUUCCUCUUCAUCGUCUUCGGCUAAUUUUUCAUCAUCAGUGGCUGGGACUAGCCAGGGGAGAGGUCGUGGGGAGCAUGGAAAUGAAGUUCUUGAGUUAGAGUACUUGGAUGAUAAGUUGCUAGAGGAACUGCUUGAUUGUGAUCACCAAAAGAAGAACAAAAAAUAGUGAGGUUGGUAUCCCUUUUUGGCUUAAUAAGCAGCUAUCCACCGUCUAUUUCUGCAAGGCACAUCGCAAGGUCAAUGAUGCUCUUAUCUUUCUUUGUUGAUAUGUAACUAGAUUCUGAUAAUCACCUUUUGCCUGCGUGUGUUUUUUCAAUGAAGAAUCUAGCAAAAGUGUUGUGUGUUGUUAAGCUUUUUAAGAUAUGGUGAUUUUCCUUCUACAAAAGUAUGAUCUGCGCACAACGCAGAAAAUACAUUGUGAGUAGUAGUUGUAUGUAUGCACCUUUAAUUUUCAGGGGUUGGUAAUUUUUGACACUGACUCCAAUUUAAUAAGAAGAAGAGGAUGAUUACUGGAUCUGACACAAUUCACUAACACGAAUAACUCUGCUUAACUUGUUUUGUGUGAUGAAAAGUAAUGAUUUUCUCAUUUGCUUUUAUAAGCCUCAUAAAUUAGGAUUACUUUCAUGGUUUUUUCUAGAUUGACUUUAUGAAUUGUUUAGCUUUAGACUUUUAGUCCACAAUUUACGAAAUUCAACUUGAAUAUGACACAUAAAUGAGUUAAGUUACGUACUAUCGAACCAUUUACAAUGAUAAUUACAUAAAUCAUGAAAAGGUUGACAACUAUCCGACAUGAGUUUUUGAAGAAUGUUGAAGUUUCACUCAUAGACGGAACUACACUAUGGCUAGAGUAGGCUCUAGCCUUUAAAGGUUUGGAAAAAUGAAAUUUAAUACUAUUUUUUACGCACUACACCUCAUUUUACAAACAAAUCUCUAGUUAGCUUCAAGUUUUCCCCUAUGAUAAAAUAAAUGGAAUUUUAUUUAGAUCUUUACCCAUAUAAGAAAUAAUAGCCCACCCCUAUAAAAAUUUCUAGUUCCGUCACCUAGGGGUGCAAUUUGGAUUGGAAAAUCCGAUUCCAAUCAAUUAUGUUAUGACAAUUUCCGAUUUUGGCAAGUCCAAAUCAAUUUCGACUUCUGAAAAUUCCGAUAAAAAAUUGGAUUGGAAUUGGAAUGUAUCAAGAGAUUUGCAAAAAAUUCCUAUCUAAUCCGUCCAAAAAUCAGCCCCACUCCCAAAAAUUUGAGAUUCCACCACAAAAUCAAUAUAGUUAGAGUAAUAUUCUCUUACCAAAUUUGUAAUAUAUGCACUCAUUUUAACUAGGGUAGUACCUACAAAUAUGAAGGCACCUACCUAUUAUAUCUUUCAAGUAGUAUAUGUAUGUAAUUAAGUGUCUAAAAUCAAAAUUUACAGUUUAAUAUCCUCAACUUUUGCCCCACAUAAAAAGGGUCCUUCAAUUUCGAUUUUUCGCCUCUUUGAUUGGGGGUAAUGUUCUCGAAUUUUCACCGCUUUUUCUAAACACUAGGGACUCUUUGCAUCUGUUUGGCUCUCUUGUUGUUCUUACUCUUAAUUGUGGUUUAUUUUUGUACCACUCCCCUGUACUUUGGUUAGGCUCUUUUGCCUCCAAUCUUUAGAUAAUAAUAUUUACAUUUAAAAAAUAAAAAAACAAAAAAAAAACUUUGUCCCACACCUCUGAACAAAUUGACAGGAUAGACUGUUUUUUGAAUUUGUGGCUGAAAUGGAUGUUAUAUAAGUUAUAACAACGUUCAACAAUUGUUAAUUAUAUAAUAGUCCACUAUAGUGAUCUCCAGGCGCACCACAAAUAUACAAAUUUUUAUAUAAAAAAACCCAAAAAACGUAGCCGCCAGUCCUUUCAUUUGGAAUGUGGCCAACUUUAUUUUUCACUGUGUAAUGUCAUUUUAUUUUGUCGCAAUCAAGCGAAAAAAUACAAUUAAUUAAGAAAAAAGUAACAAAAAUACAAAAAGAAAAGGCAAAGUUGAUAGAUUCCAAGCAAAGAAAUGUAAGGUGUGGUCAAAAGCUAGACACUAAUUCUUGGGUUUUACCACUACAGAUUGGCGCUUACAAAGCAGUCUGCUGUUUCUGUUAGGCGUUUUUUUGGGUUGCAAAAUUCGAUGUUAGGCCCAAGGUUUAAAAUAUCGAGAGUUUCGAAAAUAUCGGUUGUUCAAAAACACGGAAAUAUUGAUGGAAAUAUCGAGAAAAUAUUGAUAUCGAUAAAAAUUGAAUAAAAAUCAAGAAAAUUAUGAGAAAAACUUGGAAAUUUUUAUUGAAACUUUAGAUGAUGUUUAUUUAGUCAAUUGUCUAUUAUUUUAUCACAAAAAAUUGGAAUAAAAUGCAUGGCAUGGUGGGUUAGAGUGAUUUAAGUUGAUUAUGCGCAACGACCUAACAAACACCGUGUCUUUAGAAAAUAUGUAGUAAUUAGUGAAAGAAAAUUAAACGCACCAUAAUUUUUUAGUUAUAAUAAUUUACUACAAUAUAUUGCAUAUGAUAAGAUAUAUGAGCUUGACAAAAAAACAAAAACAAAAUAUAUGAGUAACUUAGUACCACAUAAAAAAAAUUCCUAUUAAAGUUAAAACUUAGUAUCACAUAUAAUGAACAAUAUUAAAACUCAAUAGUGAAUAAUAAUACAAUUCCAUAAUAUAUAACCAAAAAAAAAAAUCCAUAAUAAAAUAAUAAAUAAAAUUAAACAUAUGCCUAAAUUUAUCAUUAGGGAUUGUUUUUUUAAAUGGAAAUUUAUCCUAGAUAAUAUUAGCUUGCAGAAAUUUUUAAGACCAUAUAAAUAUUACACGUUGUAACAUUAUUAAUAAACUCAUUCGCAGCGUGUUGGAUAAGGCCUAGUAGAUGGAUGGGAAAGAGAGUGGUUAAUCCCCUAGUUGGCAAAAGCGCCAUUUCUCAACAAAUUUCAUUUAUUUUUCAGUUUCAAUUGCGAUAUUAUUGAUAAUAUCGCGAUAUAUUGCCCAAAUAAAGGACGAACGAGUAUGAAAUUAUCACCUCUGACAUUAUCGCGAUAAUAUCGAUAUAUUGACGAUAAUUAAGUGAAUAUGGCCUAAAAUAUCGAUCAUUUAAAAAAACGAUAUUAUCAACGAAAUAUCGCCAAUAAUUUCGAUAUUUAAGACUGUGGUUAGGCCUCACCAAGUUUUGGAGGCCGUGACUUGUGCUGGGGUUUAAGAGCACUUGUGAAUUGAACUGGCUGCAAGCUAGUAUUGGGCUCAGUUAUGAAUACAUAAAGACCUCAACUGAGGCCUGCUACCUACAUACAGUCUCUGUUUUGUUGAAAAAGUUGUGAGUUCAAAUGUCAUGAACGGCAGUUGUUUUUUAUUUUUUAUUUUUAAUACAAGCUUUAGUCUUAAACUACAAGGCGAGAAGAGUUUCUCUCACACACGCAUUUGCGUUGUUGAAUGAAAAAUAAUAAUAAUAAUUUGCUCGAGUCAUUCUGAAGACGAGUUUGGUUAAAGGUGGACUUCAAAGGCUACAAAUCUAAUAACAGAGAUAUGGAAAACGAAAUUUAUUUCCUCCUUUGCAAUUGUUCCUCUCAUGUUAAACACAAAACAUGCAUGCUCAUUCAUUCUCUCUCCAAUCUUGACCAUUUUUCAUUUGUUGGGCUUUUAUUUGUGGUGGUGGUGUUAUUCGAAUUUGUUCUCUCCUGCUUGCCUGGACUUGUUUGUGUCAUUUGUCAACUACUAGUACUACGAAUCCCAGCGUUACUUUGACAAGUAAAGUACUUGUGUUUGGGACAAAUUUGUCUGUCGUCAGCAGUGGUAUGUAUAUAUAUUCUUAACCUUUAUAUCCUUGUCCAAAUUGCUCUUCUAAAUUAAUCAUUUCUUUCUUGGGUUGGGACUAAUCCUGGCUUCAUCUUAAAUUCUUAAUGGAUGAGAAAAGAAUUUCAUGAAACAAAGAUUCUCUGUUUGUGUUUGGAAACAAGGUUCUCUAUUUUCCUGUUGCGUGAUUCUAAAGUUUGUCAGUGGACUAAGCAAGUCCUGUAUUGUCUCUUCUUCAAUCUUUAUUAUGCCUUUCACCAAGGAGACCAAAAUAUAAUCUAGAUAGUGAUCCAACUUUCUCCUUUUUUCAGGAUUUGCAAAAAUCAGGAGAUUGUUUUUUGUACUUUUCAAGCACCUCUUGCACUUUUCUAGCCAAGUCUAAAUAACAAUUUUUAAAUUUAUUUUAUCAAAGAUCUGAGCCAAUCAAACUAACACUCCAUUGGUAGUAUUAUAAUUUUUGAAAGGAUUCAUUUUCCACAACAACAAAAUAAAAUAAAAUAAUAAAAAUUAUGAGUAUUCUCUAUUGAGAAUGCCCUCAAUAUAAGAAAAGUAAGAAUUUCAGUAUUGUCAUAGCCCAUAUUGCAAUAGUGGUAUUUAUAUUUCUAGUAUGAAAAGAUAUCUCAAAUUAUUUUUUAUAUUAGAAGCCGUCUCAAGUUCGAAUCUCUUUUUUACGUUGAUAAUAACAACAUAUUAUUAGAGAUACCAUACACAUACAUGUGCAUAUGUGUAUAUCAUACCACGUCAUGACUAAAACAAAUUAUGACAUGAAAAAAUGUGCUUGCUAAACCAUGGUUGAACAACAUAUAUUAUUUUAUAGAAGGGAAAUGUGUUCAACUCACUAAACAACAAGGGAAGAAAAAGGUUACACAAACACAACUCAAUUUCACUUCCGUUUGUUUUUCUCCUCUUGAGAAUCAAGAAGGUCCUCCAACACAUGGUCAUCCAAAUACUCAAUCUCAAAGACUUGCCUUCCUUGUCCAGUAGAUGAACUUCCACCAGGAGCAGCAGCAGCAGCAGCAGCAGAAGAAGAAGAAGAAGAAGAAGAUGAAGAAGAAGAAGAAGAAGAAAAUGAUGAUGAGAAUCUAGGAGGAUGAGGAGGAGAGCCCAUAACUUGAGAAUAAUACUCAUUUGGAAAGUUGAGUAUGGCAAGAUGACCCCUUAAAUUAAAAGCAGCUCUGUCAUAAGCCCUUGCAGCUUCUUCAGCCGUAUCAAAUGUGCCAAGCCACAGACGAGCACCUUGCCUUGAAGGGUCUCUUAUCUCAGAAGCAAACUUCCCCCAUGGCCUCCUUCGGACUCCCCGAUAACGCACUUCUUCGCUUCCCUUCUCUUCCAUUCCUUGCUUCUGUAGAUCCUUUCCUCUACGAGGGUCUUCCAUAAUUUCUAGCUUGAUUCUUUGAAUAAUUUCUGGUGGUCGUUAAUUUUGACAAGCCUUUCUGUUUUUGGUUUAAAAUAUGGUGGCAUAUAAUGUAUCUCAUUGAUAUAUUUAUAGGUGUUUGAUUUUGGGACAAAUGGGGUCAUAUCACAUAUGACUUAGAUGUACUGUGAUUGUGAGAGUCCACAUGAACGUGGAUUGACCAAGCGUAAAUGGAUGUUUCUUGGAAGGUUCUUCAUCUUCAUGUAUAUUAAUUAUUAUCAUCUAGGGCUAUAAUAGAGGUGCAAAAAUUCGAUUCUUCGACUCUUUCUAUGAUCAAAUUCAAAAAGGGUUUGUAAAUCUCUUUUCUUGAUAGGCAUUUUCUUUCAAAUGGGCUUCGAAUUCUAUCUUUUUAUGUUCAUAUUAUGUGAGAAUAAUAGAUUGUGUUGGUUGGUAAUAGUUUUUUUCUUUCUUUCACUGAACCAUUGAACUGUAUUGUCACUUUACACAGAAUAUGUAGAGAUUGAUUCCCAUAUCACAAAGAUUGGAGGAAUUAGACCCACAGAAUAUGAAUGCGUAAGUGAUUCCAUCCUAAUAACUAAGAAUAUUACAAGCAUGCACUAGCCAUACAAUUUUGGUUGAAGGCAAAAAUAGGAAACUCAGGAAAAGCAAGAUAAGGUCUCAAGGGGUAUAAUUUUCCUAUUUGGUGGAAAAGUGGACUGCUAUAUAUUGUCCCCUUGCACUACUCCCUCGUAAUAUGCUUUGAUCAUUGUAGGGAUUUCAGAUAUGAGAUUUUUCAAAUCAUAUCAAAUUAUUCAAAUUUUAUUUUAUUUGAUAUGAAGCAUAUAGAAUAUGAAAAUAUUUUUGCUCACUACUUUAACCUAAUGUGUACUCUCACCAUCAUUCUCAACACUUGACACAUGUUCAUAGGCAUAACUAUAGUUAACUCUUUGUUUUGUAUUUGUGGAACCAUAGUUAUGCCCAUGUACACAUGUCAAGUGUUGAGAAAAGUGGUGAUGGUACACAUUGGGUUAAAAUAGUGAGCAAGAAUGCUUCGUAUAGAAUAGCAUUCAAACAUUAACGACUCAUUUUGGCUCACUCCACACUAUAAUUCUUUGAUCAAAGUCAUUCAUUCUGCAUUCCAUGAUCAUGGUUGCAAAUAUACACUCAAAUUGAAAAAAAUAUAUAAAUUUCGACACAACGAUAUUUUAAAUUACUCUAAUGUAUAUGGAGGGGAACAAACUUAGAUACAAGUGGGUGAGUACACUGCCUUGGCCAAUGGCCAUAACCCACACCUGCUCAAGUUGAAAAUCUUUGAGUAUUUGUGAAUAUUUUCAUUAUGUCUCAUAAUGUGUUCAUCUAUUUAUUUUAUCACAAUUAAAAUAACUAAAUGAUUUUUCAUUUUGAAUAUUUUUUUAUUUAUAGAAAUGAUCUUUCAAUGAGUACCUAAAAUUGAAUGAUUCAAAUCAUAUAAUAUAUUAUGGAGCGGACCUGGUGAUUAAUUAACGUAAUGUUGUCAAUCAAUAUGGUCAUAAAAUGUGAUCCCUUUACCUUUAUUUGUAAAAAGUGCUACUAUUUCCACUCUAUGUCCUAUUUUCGCACCCACAUAACCUUUCCAACUACCAUGUAAAUUUGAAAAAACACAAUCCUAUCUUUUCACACAUCAUUAUUCCUAAAAUACCCUUAAUUAUUAAUUCAAGCAAAUUCUCUUUGCUAAUCAUUAGUAGUUGAGAUAUUGAGAGGAUGAAGUUGUGUUUGAUGGACUGGAUAAAUGCUUUAGCAACUGAGGAGUCGUACACUUUCUUCUUCUUUAUUUUUUCUUUUUGUCAAACGAUGGAAUAGGUGGGUUACAUGAGUUGAGGUUUCUUUUCCCCAAGUCCUUAGAAAUCAUUUUACAAAGGGAAAAAUUUGUCUUUAAAAUUUUAAAAAUAAAAUAGGCAAAAAAAUAGAACAUGGGGUGGAAAUAACAAUACUCUUUAUAAAACAAAACAUAAAAAGAGAAUAUAUAAGAAUAACCAAAUGAUCUUGAGUACAUCAUAUAUUCUUCUGUCCAAACAAUCGAAAAAUUCCUAAAGUAUUAAAAAGUGGCAUAGGAUUAAAGUAAAAUUCAGACCCUCCCUCUUCCAGAAAUAAAACCAAGACACUCUCGUCGUUUAAAAAAACAUGUUCUCAAAUACCACUAUAGUAAUACUGAUAUUCAAGAGCAUUUCUCUUGCAAGAUGGCAAAUCAAAUAACCUUUUUUUCUUCUUUUCCAAAUGGGAUAAAAUAUAAGUUUUGGUAAACCUUGAAGACAAAUUAUAUGUCAUUAACUACCAAACCAAUAACUCGUCCGUAAAAAAGAAAGUGAAAACCUAAGGGCCGUUUGAUAAUCAUUUCAAUUUUAGUUUUUCAUUUUAAUUUUUCAUUUUUUGUGCUAGAGCAUAGAGGAAAAAGAGGGAGAGGGGAAGUGAGAAUGAGAAUGAAGAUGAGAUUGAGAGGGAAUAUGAGAGAGGAGGAUGGGAGGAAUGAGUAACAAAAGUGAAAACAAAAACUAAAAACUGAAAUCUAUUUGAAAUUGUUUUCACAUUCAAGUUUUCGUUUUCACUUUUGUUACUACUCCCUCCCAUCCUCCCCUCUUAUCCUCUCUCUCAAUCUCAUCCUUACUCUCAUUCUCACUCUCAUUUUCCUCUAUACUCUAGCACAAAAAUAAAAUAAAAAAAAAUAAAAACUAAAAAUAAAAUGGUUAUCAAAUGAGGCCUAAGUUACCUAACCUAAUAUUAUUAUUUUUUCCUUCCAAAACCUAACCUAAUAAAUUUCUUGGAGGUAAAAAAAUUAGGCGCUAUAUCUAUCAAUUGGAAAACAAGAAGAGUGCGGACUCAUGCCCCAAGCAUUUUGUGAUCACUGAUUACGUCGUUAAAAACAGUGUGACAUACAUAACCAAUGGGCUGUGCCCGCUCGGAAAGUGAAUCCCAAAAAGAUUUUGUUAUUUGUCUUUAAAUAUUUGUUUUGGUUACAAAGAAGGCUUGCUUUUUUAUUUAUUUAUUAUUUAUUUUAUCUUGCUCUCGAAAUAUGGGCAAAAGAAGAAGAAUUGAGGGUUUCUUUUGUUUCAUGAUUAGAGAAACGUCAAUCUAUACUAAUGGGAAUUGUCAAAGCUUGCAUACGUUAGGCCAUACGCACAAGGAAACAUGAUGAGCUCCAGCAGAUUAGUUUUUUUCAUAGGUUCAUCCAGGACAGAAUCUUUAUAGGAUCAGAAGCUAUAGAAAAUGGUCCAAUUCGUGUAAACGAAAGCUUUGACAUUGCCAAGAUAUUCAAAAGGAGCUCCUCACUAACUCCAAUUUAGUAUUAAUUUAAAAAACAAAAAGGUAAGCAAGGAACUAAGAAACAAAACCAAAAAAUAAUAAUAAUUAAAGCAAAGAAAACUGAGAGAAUUUGGUUUGAAUGUCCUAGAACAUGGAGACCAGAUCAUCCCUAGCUACUUUAAACUGUUAAUGAAGCUUUGUAUUGAGGCAGAUUUAGUCUUGGAUCAAUUUAAAAAGAUGAAGGAAUUGCAUUCUUAUUUGCCAACACCUUUCCGAUUUUAUUAAUUACAACUCCUUAAUCAUGGUUGUUUGACCCUCUAAAUUCUAAUCCUUUGAAUAUUGUAGCAUGCACUUUUUUCAAAUGUUAGAUAUAUGUGGUUGUUGUUUGAAAAUGAAAACAUGAUCAAGCGAAAACUUAGCACAAAGAGCCAAAAUUUGUAAGCAUCUUGAAUGGAAAAUAAUAUUGAAAAGAUGCAUAGCUUUAUGGGCAUCUAUGCCUUUUUAACAAAGAGUGGAGAAACCGUGUGAACCUAAUUCUCAUCGAGGAAAAGCAGUUUCAGAAUCUAAAUCUCUCAAAUGAAAAUUGGGGAUAGCGGGGAUAGCGGUGUUUUGUCGAGGUAUCAUAGAAUGUCAAAAACUUUUGACAAUGUCAAGAUAUAAACCUUGUGAACGUAAGAGAUUUAUAAACCUUUUAACAAUGCCAAGGUAUCAUAGAAUGCAAAAAAACUUACUUGUAACGGGGAUAGCGGUGUUUUGCUAUCCCCAGCUAAUUAUACAAUGACAUGUAGAAAAAUUAUCCUACGUGUCAUUGCAUUAUUGAUCGGGAAUAGCAAAAUAAGAGUUUUUUCCCAUAAAAUGAAGCUACGAGUUGAGCAUGAAUUGGGUGCUCUAAAAUACAUUUUAUGCUCGCAUUGGCCCAUCAAUAAUGCAUGAGUUGCUGGGUUUAUCAUUUGAAAGUUAUACAAUUUGUUACACAAGUGGAACUCUAGAUAACACAAUUUGAAGCCCAUUCCAAAUUGCAACAGUGUUUUUAGUUGUAUCCAAAUUUGUUCUUUAAAAAAAGCUCCUCAUUUUGGGAGAAAAAUCCCCUCCUAAGGCCUUAACUUGGUUUGCAAAUGCUAAGGAGAGAUUUCAGGCCCAUUUUAGUUGACCCAGGUAGAUAUCUUCAGAUUUAAAGAAUCAUAAUGAGAUGGAACAAAAUAUAAAUAUAUGUUCGAAUCUUCCCGUUCUUAAUAUCGUUUGUAUAAAUAAAACAACAUAAUAUAUAAAUAAUAUCCUUUAAUGAAUCGAAAUAUUGUAGCCAAAAACCUAUAGUGGUGUUACUACACCUGGAGGCGGCUAUAAGAUCCUUAAUUCACAGUCUAAUUGAUAAUUAUGAACUAAUUUAGGUUGAUUUUUUUAGUAAUCAACUAUACAACAAAUUUUCAUAUAUUUUGUUACUGAUGAAUCAAAUCGUGCUCGAGUAUAGCCAGUGAGCAUUUGUCUCUUACAAGGAUGAUAAAGACGUACUAAUUUGGAUGAGAUCCACAUAGAAAGAAGAAAAAGCUCUGCCGGUCAAAUUCAAUCACCAAAAUGCAGAUGCAUUGAGCCUAGCCAUAAAAAUCCAAUGCUACCAACCAAAAAUAUAUAUUUUUUGGAGGCUGAUUAAUGAAAUGAAGCCCCUUUUGCAGUCCUAGGGUUGCAUGUUUAUAAUGUGAACUGGGGUUGAGGUCGUAAAAUGAUGAGUGAGAGUUUGCUGUGGGAGUGAAAAACUCAUGGGGACCCAGAUGACCUAACAACUCAUUACCUGAGCACCUAGAUUUGACUACAUUAAGGUUUAUAUUUUACCUGGGAAAUAUUCUGCAAUCAAUUACUUUGUCAUCUUUUCACAACAUCUGUACUAAUAUUAUAAUCCUUAGUUUCAUAAUGUAUGUACAGAUUCAUGUACCAUUUACAUCUUUUUAAACAGAAAUGGUUCAUCCCUUUAUCCAGCUUUCAUGUUUGAUGAUGAUAUCAAACUUAUCUUUUGGUUCGUUUCUUCUUAAUUUCAAAGAGUUUGGCAUAUCAGAUUUUGGAUCAGAAUUGUUAAUUAGAUAACAUUAUAUAUGCGCACGCGCUUGUAAUUAUAAUGCAUCAUAUUAUGACAACAUAACAUGCUAGAUAUAUAUAUAUAUAUAUCUAGCAGUCCCGAUCUCUUGGACCACAGGAAUCCAAGAGAUUUGUGGUCACUCACCGUUGGAUGUAAAUUUAACGGUUCACUCAAUCUUGAACUCCUUUUAAGAAACUUUUUUGAAUCAUUAGAUUAAUAUCCAACGGUGAGUGACCACAAUCUCUUGGACUCCUGUGGUCCAAGAGAUCAGGACUGAUAUAUCUAGUAAGUGAUCGUUCCUAUUUUUAAUUGUGACUAUUUCCACAUUAUUACUUAAGAAAAUCCUGAUUUAAGGAUGAUUUUAAUAUCCUUUUAUUCCUUUACACAACCUAUACGGCUAUACCUAUGGAUAGGAUGUCCUACAAUAUAAUAAUGUUAAAUUUUUUGCGAAAGUAUAAUAUAUUAAUGUUGGGAAUCAUAAGGAUGAAGGGAACAGAUGUAACACAUAAUAAUAAAAAUUACAAAAGAUGUUGGGACAUUGGUUUGAUAUGAUUAUUGGGGGAUCGUAUCAACUUUUUAACUUUUUUAGCAGUGAGAAAGAAAAAAAGUGAUGAUUUGUAACUCAAGCAAUUAAAAAUGAUUAUUUUUACUCACGAGAUUUUGUGUUUGAAUUCUCUCUUUCUCAAUAUCACUUAUAAUAGUAAUCAAAGUUUCUUUAAAUUUUUAUUAACUAAUAGUGAUUUAUAACAAGGAUUACUAAUCCUUAAAUUUUUUAGGAAUCAUUCAUCAAUAUUUGUGAAUGACUAAUUUUUCUCAAUCUUUUUUUACCUUGGUUCAUUUUUUCAAUUUUCCAAAAUUACUCUCAUAGAAAAAUAAACACUAAAAGUUUUUAAAGACAAAAAGUUUAGUCCUUGUGUUUUUUGUUUUAGAUGUAGGUCCUUUGACAUUUAUUUUUUUUUUGUUGUGUCAAUUUUACCCUUUGAGGUAAAUAAGGAAAACACACUGAAAAUCUAAAAUUAAUGCAUUAUUUCCUUGUAAUUGAAUUCCAUAAUUUAAUUUUUGAAUUAUUUCCUUGAUAAUAUUCCUAAUAUAUCGAUAAAAUACAAUUUUACCAAUAAAAAGUAAAGACCCACAUAUUAUACCAAACAAACACCCACAUUAAAUUAUAUACCUAACUUACAGGUAAAUAGUGUUAGGAACAUAAAUUAAAAGACUACCUUUAAGUCAGAUACAAAAAUAGACAAAAUAAAAUUGUAUGUUACCUAUUUAAAAAAAGUACAUAAAAUACUAUUACACAUUGUUAAAAAUAUGAAAAAACAUAUAUAUAUACACACACACACACACACACAUAUAUAUAUACCUAUGCAAUAUGACAUAAAUGACUAUUACCUGAUUCAAGUCAUAAAGGGCAACAUUGGAACAAAAAAUAAUUUUAAAAAUAAAAUAAUAAAAAGAUUACAUCAUAAAAUAUUAAAAAGAGAAUGUAAUUCUAUGUGGCACAAAAGUCAAAAGACUUAGAUCAAAGUCACCAAAUUCGAGGAUUAAAUCCAACUCCUUAAUAUGAAUUUGAAUCUAUAUCAACUUUUCUAUAGUUUUAAUUUAUGAUGUGGGUUAUUUGGUAAUAAAAUGUGCCAUAAAUGCAUUCCUAAGUCAUUGAAAAGCAUACCAAUAUGUGGAUUUGAUCGGUGCCAGUCCUUGAACUUUAGAUAUGCUUACUUUUAGUCGUAUCACAAAGCCAAUAAAUUUAGGGAACCGGCGGAGCUCCAGGUUUCACUUUCACUCCUUCAUAAGAAAGACAACAUGUAUGAGAUUUCACAUUCCAAAAAAGGUGCUCACCAAACAUAAGAGACUAUUCCUGCCUCAAGAUAAUGGUUAGUGUCAAUAUCCUUAAAUACAUGUUCAUUUUUAAUGCAGAAGCUCGUGGUCCAAUUUUUAAUAUAUAUAUAUAUAUAUAUUGCCACUCGGCAUUACUACGUGGCAUCGAAGGAAUUUUUCUUAUAGAUCCUAAGACCUAUUUUCAUUUGGCACUGAUAAUAACAGUAUAACUAAAAAGAUUGUACUAAAAGGAAAUCAUUGCCAUGUACAUGGUAAUCAAACGAAAAUGAAAAGAAUUACUUGUUAUUGUAGUAACUAAGGGGCGCAGUCUUGGCCUUGAAGAUUUUUGGAAAUAUUAAGAUGGUCCUAAGUGCACGGGAGGGUGGGGCAUAUGAAAGUGGCAAGUUAAAUGUGAAAAAUAUAUGAAUGGACCAUAUACCAUGAAUCUGUAGGCAUCAUUGCUGGCCUAACUGGUUAGUCAAAUUAAUAGUGAUGAAUUUGGCUUUUUGGAAUCUUCCUCAAAUUUGUUUUAAUUUCUGUAGAAGAAAAAAAAAAGGUUUAAUUUUAAAUUUAUAUAAACCCUUGGAUGGUGGUGGUGAUAGGGAGUGGUGAGCAAGACUAUCUCAUCAGACCAUUUGAGCACAUGUGAUAUAUAGAUGCAGGUAAUUAGUUUUUUUAUUUUUUUUAAUUUAUAAAUUCCAAAAUUUCCUCUUAAAUAUCUAUUUUUCUAGAAAAGAAGAAAGAAAGUAGUUGUUUGACAAAAGAAAAAAAGAGGAAAGAAAGUAGUUCAAGUUGGAACAGAAAUUACCCUGCAGUUUCCUUAUGUUUUUUUUUUUCCGUUUAUUCUCUUACUUUUCAAUAUCCAUUUCCUUUAAUUAUUUUUGUGGAUAUGUUUAUGAUAAAUAAAUAAAUAAGCAAUCGAAGUUGGAUUAGUCUUACCUGAUCGACUGGUGACAUGAGCACUAAUUGCAAUCUGCACCCUUGUCCCCCUUUCACGAGAUCGGUUGAAAUGGCAGCAAAAGUCCUUCAAGACCAAAUUUGCAUCAAACAAUUUGGACCAUAAGUUUCCCACCACAUCCCCAUAUAUAUGGUAAAAAAUAAAAAUAAAAAUAAAAAACCAAAUUUGGUAUUUUGGUUUGAAGGUUACAAUAGUGGUAUAAAAUCGUGGGAGCAUUUUGCUCAUUACUUUAAUUCAAAGUUUAUGCUCAUUACGUUUUUCAAUACUUGACACGUGUUUAUAAGCAUAACUUUAGUUAUAAAAAUCAAAGUAAAAAGUUAACUAUGAUUAUACAUAUGGAUACGUGUCAAGUAUUAAAAAGGGUGGUGCAUAUACCUUAAGUUAAAAUAGUGAACAAAAAUAUUUCCCUAAAAUUGUGGGUUGGUGGAAAAUGGAAAAUAUUUACCUUGUUUCAUUUCAUGACGGAGACCUAAAAAAGGAAUGAUCCCAAAAGGGAAUUUUCCUAGAAGCUCCAUCCAUGUACAUGAAAACAUUUCAAAGAUGCUUAACUGGGGCUACCUCAAAUAUUAUCUUUUACUGCAGCUGACUUGUCUCUUUCCUUUUCUUGUAUCCAUUCUUUCCGGAGGACUUUCAAAGUUGAACCAAAAAAAAAGUAUCCUAGUUUUGAUGACUUUGAAACAUGACAACAGGGAUGAGGUUUCAAGGGGGCGUGCAUCUAGACCUUUCAAACAUCAAUUUCCUAAUGCCGACUGAUGAGAUAAAAGUUUUGUGCAUUUGGGAUAAUAAUUUUUUAUUUAUUUUUGUAUAUAUAUAUAUAUCACAAUCACCAAACAAGUCCCAAGGAGAAAAUUUAACCCAACUUGUUGCUUCAUACAAAAAAGGUCAUUCUCAUUCGGGUGCUGAUGAGCUUGGGCAGAGUGAGCACGUCCAGAUAGCAGCAAAAUAGGAUUUUGGCUAAUCAUUUCACAUGAAUCCUGAUGUUUUAUACAAAUAGGAGAGACGUGAAGAAAACCUACCUAGGCUACCUAAGCUAGCUACCUAAACCACAGUCAAACAAUUAGUCCCCUAUUUCUUACUUUCUUUCUGUGUGUUCAUAAAAUGUAUGUGUUCAAUCUUGUCCCAUCCUUUGGUUUUUUCCGAAAACUUUGUUAAAUAAAAUAAAAAAAAAUAUAAAAAAAAUCUGACUAAGUGCUUUCAAAAAGUUGCCAAAGAAAAUUGACCACCGCUUUUUUUGUUUUUCUUUUUUUUUUUGUUUUAAAAGUUAUGAUUCAGAAUUUUAGUGGUUGUGUCAAAUCAGCUUAAAAUUUAGCUUACGUGUGUGAGCCUCUCGUAUAUAUUUAAGAGUAUCAAACACAACAAAUCAAGGCGAAUAAAGUCUGAACACAAUUAUACAUAUGCAAUGCAAAAUAAAGAUAAAAUGAAACAUAUAUCUUAAAAUGUAAUCUAGUUUAGAAAUGAAAUAUGCAAUGCAAAAUGAAGAUAAAAUAAAACAUACGUCUUAAAAUGUAAUCUAGUCUGAAAAUGAAGAGUAGAAUCUCACUUAAUUAACAUCUAUAGCUCACCAUUGAGCAAUGAGUACUAAGGCUACAACUAUUUUUCCACAUCCAUGAGUCCAUGACCUUGUGAGUCUAGUUUCUAGGGGUCAUUUUCUUUGACAUGGAAAAUCGAAGUCCACUUACACCAAAUGGGUCAAGUUUUAAGUUAGUGAUGGAUUGGUAUGAGUGGAAACCGUAGCCAAGUGAACCACGGGUGAUUUGCUCUUGUUAUUGCAAUUUAGUGAUCUAAUCUUCUUCUUCCCUAAUAAGUGAAAUUGAUGAUAAAGUGACAAGUAAUAAUAUAAAACGUAUUGCUCAAGUUUUAUUUGUAAAUCCAAAGCCAUAAGACCCUUGACUUCUUUUUUCCACCCUCAUUUCCUCGAACAUUCACAAAACCAUGACCUCUUUCUUCCCAAAUAAAUUUUUUGGGCUCCAAGCCAUCCAAGCAAUGUCAAAUAUUUUUUUUAUUUCUUUAAAAUCCUAGUUGACAGCUUUGAAAGCGAAAAUACGUGGGAAAUCCAACGGUGGUCCUUGAAGUGGUAAAAAAUUGAACUCACUAUCUCCAACGGCCAUUCAACUACCACGCAGUCUGUGAAUUGUGCCAUUCAGAGGAAUCCACAUGCUGACACGCGGGCAAGCUCCUAUGCGACAAAUGGACACUGAUAUCAUAAGCUGCUGAGGUCACCACAAGUUUCUCUCUGACCUGGCCGCCAUGCUUCAAUUGACCCAUGUGUUAAAAUUCAUCCCAACUUGCGUAGGAUCCCACAAUAAAUACAAUAAUACACCAAAACAAAUAAAAUAUAGCCAACCACAUCUUAUAUUUUAAUAUGAUUCACCUGGCUACUUUUACCUUUUCACCCUCAUAAUUUUUACCCACUCUCUUUCGUUGGGUCAUUUUUAACUUGGGGGCCCAAUUGGCCCCUACUGGUCCACAUUGGUCCUGUGGGACCCAUUGGAAUUGGGUAUAAAAAUGGGAGGAGGCCCCGAGUCUUAGCUUAACCACAACGUGUAGCCACACUUGCACAAACACAAUAUUCCAAGAAGAAAACAGAGACACCACCUCAAUUCUUCAAAUGAAUUACUCAAUCUUCCACUCCCCAAUUUCCGAUUUGUCACCUGAAUCUUCAUUCGGAUCAUCAUUUUCUUGGGAUGAUCACAAAUUUGGCAACAACUCACUUCCCUUCAACGAAAACGACUCCGAAGAAAUGCUUCUCUAUGGCCUAAUUUCCAACGCCACCCAGGAAAUAACAUCAAGAGAAACAGAGACACUCUCUGUUUCUGCAAACCCAAUCAAGGAAGAGGAAGUGAGCUCCACGUCCGACUCGGAGAACCCGAAAAGGGAAAAGUCGUACAGAGGGGUGAGGAGGCGGCCAUGGGGCAAGUUUGCUGCUGAAAUUAGAGACUCCACCAGGCACGGCAUAAGGGUGUGGCUAGGCACAUUUGACAGUGCCGAAGCUGCAGCCUUGGCCUAUGAUCAGGCCGCCUUUUCGAUGCGUGGCUCCGCGGCGAUUCUCAACUUUCCGGUGGAGAGAGUCCGAGAAUCGCUUAAAGAAAUCAACUAUGUCGCUUCGGAUUUGAACGGGGGCUCGCCGGUUGUGGCGCUCAAAAGAAAGCACUCCAUGAGAAGGAAAAUCGGGAACAAGAAGAGCAAAGUGGAGAGAGACGUGAGGAUAGAAAAUGUGGUGGUGUUUGAAGAUUUAGGCGCAGAUUACUUGGAAGAAUUGUUAAAUUCAUCUGAGAGCACAUGUGCCACUGCCACACCUAAUCGUUGAUUCAAAAACAUUAAUUCAACUUUCUUGUGUUCUUCUUUUUUUUUUUUUGGUGGUAAUUAUAUGAACCAUCAUCACUUUGAAAUCUUUGAUCUGUCUCUUCUCCAAUAUUUUCUUUUUUCUGUGAAGUUGCAAAAAAAGGAUAAGGAGUUACGUAUUUAUGUAUCCUGGUGUCUCAUUUGUGGCGCUCAAUUAAUUGAUCCUUAAGGUGAUUAGAUUUAAUAUUCUACUAGUCAACUAAUAUAGCUGGUCACUCUUAUCAUACACAAAAUGACAUUGCCACAUGCACGCGUGCUGUACGAACUCCAAGUUAAAUCACACUUAAUAGUAGUACUUCAAUCCUCACAUCUUUUUGCGUUUGGCUGGUUUUCCAUGAUCGGGAGAUUCUUAUAGUUGUCGUCAUGCAUUGCGUUAGACUCUUAUACAUAACGUAUAAUAUUUAAAUUAUGUGUGCAUUCUGUGUGCGCGUAUAAUGCAUUAGUUAGACUUUUACGUAUCGUGCGUGAAACUUGAAUACAUACCACUCACAUAAACAAGAAGUUUUCUUUCUUCGACGAGGCUACAAAAUUAAUAUUUUCCUUAAUAGAAUAUCAUAUACAUUGGUUGAUGAGCAAGGAGUGUGAAUAUUGUUAUUAUUAUCCUCCAAUGCCAAAGGGGCCAGGCUAUCAAAAUAUCAAGGAUGUAUACAUAUGAUAUGGCCCACGAGCCAUGACCAAAGAGCUGCAACUUGCUUGGUUAGUCCUCAGUUUCAAUCGAAUUAUUUUUGGUUUUUAAUGGCAGUUUUGUCUUUAAGCACUAAGCACUAGUAAGUGUGGACACCUGUAUAAACCUAAUCAAGCAAUUAGCUCGAGCAUUAUGCAAAUCAUAUCAACUAAUUAAAGCUUAAUUAUAUCUCCAAGUAAGUAGUUGUGUGGAGAAGGAGAAGAAGAAGACAAAACUGCCAUUAAAAACCCAAACUUGAACCACUUUGAACACUGUUUUGGUCCAAUUUCAAAGCAAAGAAGCUUCUGCGAGCAAUUCAGUCUUAGUAAUUUGGGUGGACAAUAUCUGCUACUUGCGACUUAUCUAAUUCAUUCAUCCUCGCAUAUAAUAAUACACAGAUUUAAUUCAUUUGAAUAUAUAUUAUCUUCACGUGGGAUCUAAUUUGGUUCUAUAAAACUAUCAUAAAUUGUGACCCUCCUUCCUCCGCUUCUUUUUAAAAUAUUUUUCUGUGGACCACAUGAUUUGUUUUCAAUAUCACGUAUAAACUUUAUUUUUAUCAUUAUAUCAAUAUUUAAAAAAGGUUACAAAUUCGAAUUCUCUUUUCUUUUCAAUAGAAACGAAUACCGCUAUCAUAUUGUUAGCCACAUACUAUGGUAAUUGGUGCGAUAAAAUAUGUAUCACUAUAAUUACAUGAUCAUGCAACGGCUUAAGCGGUUUAGUAUUCUGUCUAUGUCCACAGAGAGUACUUAAUAUUUAAACACAACUAACUAAUGAUAAUCCAUGGGCUGGCAGUACAUGAAUAUUAAUCUUUAAUUAAUUUUUAUUUGACAUUAUCCAUUCACAAAAGACGCUAGUAGCAAUAUUGUAAUUCGCAUGAAUGUUGAUAACCAUAAAUUUUGUCACGUGAUUCUCAAUUGCAACCGGUAAAAUUGAGGGUCAAAGUCCUGGCAGUCAAAAUCCAACCAAGUCAUUCAAGCCGCUUCCACGUCCUCUAGGAAACCUAAUUAAGCAUAAUAUUCAAUGGAAAAUCAUGAUUAGAAUUUGAUUAAGUGAGUUGUUUUAGUACGUAUGAUAUGGUUAGCUCAACUUGGCCACCUUUCAAGAACAGAGGUAAUGGGAAUAUUAGAAAUUCGAUCAGAUUCUCAUUUAACUAGACUUUUUUCAAGAAGGACUUGAAUUAUUUUUUUGGGUUAUCAUGAUCAUUGAAAUUUUACUAGUUCCUGCAAGUGUUGCACUGAUCAUGGAAAAGAUAUUGGGAUGACAUCGAAGGGUUUCCACCCUUAGGUCUAAUCUAACGGAGUUAGGAUUUGUGAAAUUAUGCUUUCUUGACUACAAGAGAAAAGAUAGAUAGAUUCAUCCAACACACUGCAUUUCAGACAUCCAUCUAAUCUGAUGACAAAAAGAUAGAUUCUUAAUUAAAGACGUCAAUGAGAAUAACUCAUGAUUAAAAGGUCGGGUACCACUAACAUACAUAAAUAUAAUGUGGACGGGGCUGGUACCAAAAUGACCGGGGCAUCGUCCUCUUCCUACCCCAGCCACCUCCCGCCGCCAGCCGCCGCGGAUUCGCCGGAAUUUGGAGAUGAAGCGGCCGAUGUCGUCCAAACUUCAAAGCCGCCGAUCUCCCUCCUCCGGCCACCAAUUCCGUCGACCCAGGUAUGGAUUUUGAACCUCUCGAGCUGCUCUAGCUGAUGGUUGGGUAGGAUUAGAUCGAUUCUUAGCGUAGCCAACUCGAUUUUCGAAUUGAAAAUCGGCCGAAACUUCGGCCGCUGUGAUCGGCCAUUUCCGGUCAGUUUUUGGGGUAGGUCCAAGAACAAAAGUGGCUCCAAAUAGGGUGUUCUACCUAGGGUAGGAGUUUGGAGCCGUGAUUUUGAGAUUUUCUGGUGAAGCGUUAUCGCUUUGGGCACCACGCGCUGCCGACGCGUGCGGCGGCGCGUGGGCAAGGUGGAAAAAGUAGCACUGUGUUCCGAUGAGAUCCUUAGGUUGUCACGAGUGUGUAGGAUUUCGCGGAUCUCAAUUCGGACGUCGUUUGACUAUCGAACGGAUAAUCGCAUAUUGUGCGUUAUCCGGGUUCGACAGGUUGGGACCGUUGGAUGGUCCUAAAUUUAAUAUAUGUUAAUCUAGGUAAUUCUAGGAUCGUGUAGGAAUUCACGGAUUGUGAAUCGGAGCCCCGGAUGUUCCGAAUAGUAAUUUUAAAGUUUAUAUUUUAUAUUAAUUGUCAGAUCGUGCGAUCGUGAACAAUCCGACCGUCCGAUCUGAACCAAACUCGCAGGACAAGUGUCCUAUACCUGGUAGAACCCAUAGGGACUUCCGGAUCGGAAAUUGGAGGUCGUGGGUUCCGCAGGCCCGUUUGACCAGGGUUAGAGUAGUUUGACCCUUGGUUGACCGUGAGCCACCCGGAGUAAUCUCACCUCUCCAGGGGAGAUUAUUGGGUGCUAGACUAUUGUGGAGGGUUACACAAUAUUAGAAUUAAUUUAUAUAAUUAUAAACAUAUAUUGUUGCACAAGGGUACAACAGAGUCUAGAAUGUCAGUUUGGAGUGCUAUACGCACUACUUUAGGUACCUCAUCGGAUUUUGGAUUCGCUACAAACACCAUCAAGUGAAGGUUAGGUCCCGCGUGGCGUAGGUUAUCCGGCGUUGGGACAGACCCCAUACGUGGCGUUGGUUGUACCGGCGUAUGGGGAGAUUUGCAAUAUGAUGUUCAGGUCUCACGUGGCGUAGGUUAUCCGACGUUGAGACAUGCCCCGUACGUGGCGUUGGUUGUACCGGCGUACGGGGAGAUUAUGUGAUAUGAUGUUGAGGUCCCGCGUGGCGUAGGUUAUCCGGCGUUGGGACAGGCCCCAUACGUGGCGUUGGUUGUACCGGCGUAUGGGGAGUUAUGUGAUAUGAUGUGCAGGUCUCACGUGGCGUAGGUUAUCCGGCGUUGAGACAGACCCCAUACGUGGCGUUGGUUGUACCGGCGUAUGAGGAGAUAUAAUGAUAGUAUGGCAUGGUCGCACGUGGCGUAGGUUAUCCGGCGUGUUGACAGGCCCCAUACGUGGCGUUGGUUGUACCGGCGUAUGAGGAGAAUAUGUGAAAUACAGAGAAAGGAAAUAAGGUAUCACCGAUGUGUGGAAUUAGAUUUUAGGGAAGAACUACGUGUGGCUUGAUCCCUCAAGGAGGGUACGUAGGCAGCCUAAGGUUAUUAGGUGCAGCCGCAGACUAAAUGUUAGUCAUAAUUUGUAUUUGAAUGGUUUGGUAGUUGGUUAAGAAUUAUUGGAAGGCCGAAGGCCAUUUGUGUGAAUUGCAUGAAAUUAUAUUGUGCAUGCUGCCAGUUGGGAAUAUUAAAUGCGUUUUUAUGCAGGUUGGAAUUUUGAAAAAUGUCCAAUUUAUAGGGGAGACUCUGCCGAAAUUUCGGCAGGACGUCUCGGUUUUUAGUAAGUGGGCCUGGCAUCGGGGUGAUGUCAGGAAUUGCAAAGGGUUCGUCUCGGGUUUUGAGAAAAUUCGGGGCGGGUCCUUAAAGCCGGAAUUGGUUUUUGGCUCCAAAAUCGUGCGACCAGUGGACAUUUCAUCGCGUAAAAUUAGAUGUCGGCUGCAUGUUGCUCGACGGGAUGUUCAAUUUGUGCGAUGCGAUUUGGCGUUUGCGCGACGAAAACUGAUGCAACGAAAAAAUAUUCAUCGUCGCCCUAAAGUUGGAUGUCGACGUGUACUUGCGCGACGAAAAGUUAGACUUGCGCGACGAAAGUGGGAGUUUUGCGCAACAAAAUAUGUUCUUUGCGCAACGAAGUAUCUAUUCGUCGCGCAAAAGUUAGUCUUCUUCAAAUCUGAGUUACGCCAUGGUAGAGGCAGAAAGCUGAGAAUUUCUGCCUCUGCUGCUGCUGCUUAUGCUAGGAAUUCACUACAUUUAGUAGGUGAGUAUAUUUUGUCAUUAGUUUGAGUGUAUUCAUGUAAAUUCAUACUAAUGCUAUUAAUUUCGUUCUUUGUAGAGAUAUUUUGUGUGAUUAGCGGUUGGUGGCACUACUACAAAAAAGAAAAAAGACGACGGUAAAUCACCGUCGUUGUUAAAAUAUACAACGUCAUCAACAAAUACAAAACGACGUCUUUGUACUGCAAAAAGAUUUAAAAAGCCAGUCGAGGAUGAGAAUAGACGACCAACUCUCUAAAAAAACCGUCGUUAAAAAGGAAAAAUUUGACACAUAUUAACAGAACAAGGCCGCAAGAUAGACAUACAACGACGAAAAUUAAAACAAGACGCCGUUAAAUAUCAUUUUCACGACAAUAAAAAAUAUGACGUCUUUAAAUACAUUAGAAGACGACGUUAUUGAUACCUACUACGUCGCCUAUAUAAAAACAACCGUCGUAAAAUAAAUUUUUCACUUCGAUUUUUCUAUAAAAGAUGACAUGGAAAUAGUUGUCAGUGUCAUUAUUUACGACGUAUGUAUUUAUAGAGUAGACGUUGAACAACGAAACAACGUCGGUUACAAAUAUAUGAGAGUCGUAUUACAAAAUUUAUACGUCCUAUUUUCAGAAACAAACAACGACGAUAAAUAUUAGACGUUGUUAAGUAAAACAACGUCGAAAACAAAUAAAAACAGACGUGUUUAGUCUGCUAAAGUUCUAAAAAAUAGUCGAGGAUGAGAAUAGACGACCAACUCAAACAAAUCAUCGUCGUUAAAAGGGAAAAAUAUGACACAUAUUAAAAGAACAAGGCCGCAAGAUAGACAUACAACGACGACAACUAAAACACUACGCCGUUAAAUACAAUUUUUACGACAAGAAAAAAUAUGACGUCUUUAAAUACAUGAGAAGACGACGUUAUUGAAAUCUACUACGUCUCUUAUUUACAAACAACCGUCGUGAAAUAAAUUUUUCACUUCGAUUUUUCUAAAAAAGAUGACGUGGAAAUAGUUGUCAGUGUCAUUAUUUACGACGUAUGUAUUUAUAUAGUUGACGUUGAAAUUCGAAACAACGUCGGUGGUAUUUAUAUAGUCGACGUUGUAUUUAUAUGUAUUCAUUACUCACGACGCACUUAUUAAUAUAGACGACGUUGAACUUCUAAACAACGUCGGUUCCAAAUAAAUGAGAGCCGUAUUACAGAACAUAUAGACGGCAUUGAUUAUGAUGAGAGCCGUAUUACAAAUAACGUCGUUUAAUUGAUAUUAGACGGCGGUUAUAAUGAAUUACCGUCGGAAUUCAUUUCGUUCCUCUUCGUUUAUAAAAGAACUUGCGACGUGGAAAAUGUAUGAUGACGUCGUAUUUUUUAACGUUCAGAUUAUAUAUCUCGUUUUUUAGACGUCGGUAUUAUGGGAUUGGAGUCGUGUUAUUUUGAAUUACAUGGCGGUUCUUAAUCCUUCCCCGACGUGAUAUCCUGAAUAAUUGCUUCACAAUAGCGUCGUGGUUCUUCAUUGUUACGUUGCUUUAAGACGUCGGUAAAUAUGCUGAAUAACUGGUUCACAAUAACGUCGUGUUUUAUUUGAACGUAGAAAGUGAAGAAAUCACAUUACAAUAUAUUACAAAAUUAAUGUCAUACACUGCCAAUUACAUAAGCAUCAUUCAAUCCAUAUAUCUUCACACCCAUCUCGAAUAUUUUGACCACCUAACUCACCCACCAGUUUAUCAAAUGUGUCAACAUUUGGCAUCCCUCUAGUAAAUGGCUCACACUCAAUUAUCACAUCACCUAAGACUUCAUCACCAAUAACAUCAUUAUAUUCUCUAUUAGGCAUUGAUAACACUACCGACCAACCACGAUGCAUCGGGUCGUCAACAAAAAAUAUUUGUUUGACUUGAGAAGCCAAAACAAAUUGGUCAUUCCUAUGUCCAAUUUUACUCAAAUCUACAAGGGUAAAUCCAAGUUCGUCGACUACAAGACCAGAACUAUCUAUCCAAUCACACCUAAAGACUGGGAUUGUAAACUUUUGGUAGUCAAGGUCCCAAAUUUCUUAAAUGACACCAUAGAAACCCAUAUUUGAGAGAAUUGAGUUUUUAUCCUUGGCACUAGCAACUUGCAUGGUAUGUGCAAGUAAAUAAACUCCACUAUUUUGAGUUGUCCGGACAUCAUCUUGUGCCUUGAUAUUGAAUUUAAUACCUUUAAUAAGAUAGCUCCUAUAUAAUGGCACUGCCAUGUUUGGACCAGCUGCUAGCCACCUAAAUUUUCUGAUACGCCAUGAUUGUCUUCCUCAAGUUCACUUUGAACCUGCAAUUAAUCAUAUCUUAUUUCAUCUAACAUAGAAAUAGAGAAAUUAAAGAGAAAUAUGUUAUUCAACACAUUUACCUUGAAGCAUAGCCAUUGAUGAAAGUGCUAUUGUGCUUCNNNNNNNNNNNNNNNNNNNNNNNNNNNNNNNNNNNNNNNNNNNNNNNNNNNNNNNNNNNNNNNNNNNNNNNNNNNNNNNNNNNNNNNNNNNNNNNNNNNNUUUUGCAACUAGAAUUCGAUGUCCGUGCAGGAGGUAUAACAACACGUUGUGGGAGACAAUUGAAAAUGUUCGAUUUCAUUUAGUAAGAAGUGGAAUGAUUGAGACAUAUAGCACUUGAAACUAUCAUGGGGAACAAUUAGACAAAGCUUCCUCUUCAAGGGCCACAAGAGUGGACAAUGUUGAACCUAUUUUGGAUUCUAAUGAACAAGUCAUGGAUAUUAUAAAUGAUGCUUUUCCAUUUGCAUUGACCAACAUCAAUCAAGAAGAGGAAGAUGACAUGUCUACACCAAUGGACAGUGCGGAGUUCGAACAGUAUGAAAAACUGUUAAAAAAUGCAAAUCAAGAGUUAUACUCGGCGUGCGAGAGUUUUUUCGUUCUUAUGGCCAUUGUGGAGCUAAUGCAAGGAAAAAUAAAGUAUCAUAUGUCGAACCAAUGUUUCGAUUACUUUUUGGGCCUUUUCAAGAGAAUGCUUCCGACGGACAAUUGUUUGCCGAAAAACCAUAGACACCCGCAGAAGGUCUUGAAUGGCCUUGGAUUGAGUUAUGAAAAAAUGUACGCAUGCAAAAAUAAUUGCAUGUUAUUCUACAAAGAGCAUGAAACAUUGGAUAUAUGCCCUAUAUGCAAUGAGUCGAGGUUCAAAAUGACUUCUCAUAAUAGAAUGACUAAGAUCCCACAAAAAGUUAUGCGUUAUCUGUCCCUAAAACCAAGGUUGCAACGAUUGUAUAUGUCAACGCAUACUGCCACAGAUAUGAGAUGGCAUAAGGAAAAACGGGUAGACAACGAUGUGAUGCGACAUCCUGCAGAUGGGGAGGUAUGGAAAGAGUUUGAUCGAACGUUCCUCGAGUUUGCUGCUGAUUCCCGAAAUGUUAGAUUGGGACUUGCCACUGACGGAUUCAAUCUGUACGGGGUUCUAAACCAACACCACAGCACUUGACCGAUUUUCGUAUUCCCAUAUAAUUUGCUGCCUUGAAAAUAUAUUAAAAAAGAAUACAUGAUGAUGACUGUUUUGAUAACUGAGGAUCCUGGCAGGUCAAUCGAUAUGUACUUAAGGCCGUUGGUUGAUGAGCUGAAGGAUUUAUGGACAAACGGUGUGCGCACGUUCGAUAAAUCGACUGGGAAGAUGUUCACUUUAUGGGCAAUAGUUAUGUGGACUGUGAAUGAUUUUCCCGCAUAUGCAAUGGUUUCUGGAUGGAGCACAAAGGGUUAUAUGGCAUUCUCUGUAUGCAAGGAAGAUGUAUGCCCAGCUGUCCUCUCGUCCCUCCAACUCCUUCGGAUGGUGGUGCAGGUCGCUCUUCCAUUGCUUGUACCUCUCAGCAAAGGGUCUGUUGACGUACGCUAUCGACUUAUCAUCGAGGUCCUCUACAUUGUAGUUCGUCUGCAAUUUAUUAAUUACAUACAUUAAGUAAUAGAAAUAUAGAAAGUUUGAACUUACAAAACAUUUAAAAGGUAGGAUACAUACCGACAACUGUCCGAGCACCUCCGUCCGCAUCUCCUCAGACAUGAACUUCCAAGACUUCCAUUGCAUAGGGCAAUAGGUCCGAACGACGUGCCCAACGUCGUGGGCCAAAGAUCUAUGCAAUUCAGCCGUUGGUGCAACUGAUGCCGCACGUCGUAUCCGAUGCUAAUACGACUGUUGGUCACUAGGGUGACCUUCGCCGUCUUCAACUGCCGACAAGGUCCACGGGUGUUCUUCUUGGCUGUAAAGAAAUAGAAAGUAUACUGUUAAUAGUAAUCAUACAAAAAUGUUGGACAACAACAGAUGGAGUCAAGGCAAUCUUUACCUGGCUGUGAUCUGACGCACAAGUACGUCUAUCGAUGCUGUGUCACUCAUGCUGGGGGGCGGUGACGACGUUUGGCACGAAGAGGUUGCGCCACAGAUGAUGCAGAUGACGCCGAGGGAUCACGAGGCAACUGCUCCAUCUGUGAUGGAGCAGUGAUAGCAGCAGGCUGAGCCGGAGGAGGCGAACUUUGUCCAGUGGUCACCGCCUUACUGCUUCGAAUAAGGUUUGACAUCUUGGCCAAGGAAAAACAUGUAACAUUUAAUAAUGUUUUAGGCAAAGCAUGUAACGUAGUUAAUCUAAUUGGGUUAACAUGUAACGAAAUAAAAAUAAAUAUUGAAACAACUAAUAAAACAAAAACAUAUCAUAAUUAUUAACAAACAUAAUUUUUUUUUUUUCCAAUUUAACAAUCUUAACUAAUUUUAAUUAAAGCAUAUCUUGUCUGGGGGUUAGCAAUUCCGGAGUAUCCGGGAUUCCGAUCGAAAAUCAAUCGAAUCCAAUACGAUCCUAGAAAUACAUGGAACAACAUGCGUGAUUUUUAGUUUGAUCCAACGGUCCGAACACAUCAAACCCGAAAAUUGCAUAAUAGGCGAAAUCUACUCUACACUGAAACGGUAACCAAAUUGAAAUCCUAACACACCUACGCGCUCGUGACAACUAGGGGAUCGCAGUGGGACACAAUGUCCCUCUGCUACAGUACCCACGCCCCGCCACAUGCGUCGGCAACGCAUGGAGUCCAAAGCGAUAAGGAUCGCAGGAAAUUUCACAAAAUUACAGACCAAGCUUCCUACCCUAGGUUCAAAACAACAAUUGGAGCCACUCUGGUUCUUGGGCCUACCCCGAAAAAUGGCCGGAAGUGGCCGGAAAUUCAAAUAAAAAAUUGGCUGAUUUAUUUUCUACAAAUUCACAUACCAAAACCAAAAAUUCAUAAAACCCUAUCCAACCAUCAGCUAGAGCACAAAAUUUAGUCGAGAAUGCAUACCUCAAUCGUCUAGUUUCGUGGCCAGAGGAGAGAGAAAUUGCCCAACGAAAAUCUGCCCAAUUCCGACGGUGUUGCGGCGGCGGAAGCGGUGUGCUUCGAAGGGGUGGUCGGCGGAAGGGCUAUGUGUGGGUUGAGGAGGCAGGACGUGGCGGUUAUGGUGGGAGGGCUAUCGGGAGAAAGAGGGAGGCGAAGGAAGGAGAUAGACCAAACCAGGGGUCAGUCGUGUUUUUCAGAAAAUUUACAAGCCUUUGAGCGACGAAGACUUAAACCGUCGUGCAACAUAUAUUUUUCUAACCCUUACGCGACAAUAAAGCUAAAACCGUUGCGCAAAAACGUCGUGCCACUCAAAAUUUUGGACCCUUGCGUGAUGAGAAAGGUGAAACUGUCGCGCAAGGCCGUCACCCUGCCCAAAAUUUCACACCUUUGCGUGACAAAAAACACAAACCGUCGCGCAAGGACGUCUGGCCGCCCAAAAUUUCAGCCCCUUGCGCGACAAAAAAAACCCAAAUCGUCGCUCAAGGACCCAAAACCCAAAAAAUUUCAGCCCCUUGCACGACAAAAAAACCCAAACCGUCGUGCAAGGACCCUAAACCCUAAAAAUUUCAGCCCCUUGCGCGACGGUUAAGCAUGAACUGUCGCGCAAGGACGUCAUGACGUUCCAAAUUUCAGACCCUUGCGCGACGACAAUUUAUCCGUCACGCAAAACGGAAACCCUGAUCCGUGAACCCUAAACCCUAAAGCCACAGUUAUACCAGAUAGCGACGAAGCUUCCGUCGUCGCAUAAAGAUAUGCGCAACGAAUAAAUUCUUUCGUCCCGCAAAACAAAUAUGCGCGACAGUUUUCUCCAUUCCACUAACGUGUGCGCGACAAUUUGCCCCGUUCGUCACGCAAAAUUUUUUUAAAAUCAUAUUACUGAAUUCCCUUUUAAAUGGAAAAAAAGUGGAUGUUCCUUGCCAUUAUUUUGAAAAAAUGAUUAGAAUGUGGAUCAUAAGGUCUGAAUUGAAUUAGGAUUGACCAUUUUCAAUUUAACAAAGACUUAAUUACUCAUCCACAACAUAGCCGGUAUAUUAUGUAUACGUAUCAAGUUAGAGUACAUUAACUUGUACAAACUCACCACAAUGUCAAUGAGGCAUAUUGUUUAUAUAAGUAUUGCUAUAUACGUAUAUUUCCUCCAUGUACACACAUACAUUAUAUAGAUGGCAUGCACAUAUAUAUAUUUAUAUAAAAAAAACCUUCAUACUUAUAUAUACAUUAUAUAUUUAUAUUUAUAUAAUUGUAUAACAUAUAAAUUUUAUAAAAUCGUAUUAAUAAAUUCCCAUAAAUAUUUAUAUAUUCUUAUAUUUCUAUACACACGAAAUAUAUAUAUAUAUAUACACACACAUAUACAGUGUAUAUUAUAACUUAGUAUAAUGUAUUAUAUACUUUGUCUAUAUUUAUAUAUAUAUAUAUAUUUGUGCGACGACACAUGUAUUGGUCACGUUAACAUCUCUUGCGCGACGAAAUAAUCCUAUUUGUCGUGUGAAGGUUCCUUGAGCGACAAUACAAAUUUAUUAUACAUUCUCGAUGAGGGUCUUGCACAUCAUAAAACUAACCAAUAUAUUACUUAGUUGGGAUUUGAUAUUACAUAAGCAUGGAUGCGAGAGAAUUUUGAACAUGCUCAAUCACCUAUAAGAGACGGAACAACUACUUGUCCAUACAUAUUGACAUGAGCAGUAAUUUCUUACUAAUAUUGUAGUAUGAUAUACUAUAAGUAAUUGGUCAGACAAGUGCAGUGAAAUGAGUUGCCAACAACUCUUAUUUAUAGCAACUAGCCCAUACUAAACAAGUUUAUACGAAUAGUUUAUUAUGGUCGUGUGAUGGUGGUCGACUUCUUGGAGGGGAUUGUGGAUAAAUUCUUCGAUGGGGUGGUGGCAUACUUCUUGGAGGCGGACUUCUUGGAGGGGGAGGUGGGGGACUUCUUAGAGAUGAUGGUGGCGGANNNNNNNNNNNNNNNNNNNNNNNNNNNNNNNNNNNNNNNNNNNNNNNNNNNNNNNNNNNNNNNNNNNNNNNNNNNNNNNNNNNNNNNNNNNNNNNNNNNNNNNNNNNNNNNNNNNNNNNNNNNNNNNNNNNNNNNNNNNNNNNNNNNNNNNNNNNNNNNNNNNNNNNNNNNNNNNNNNNNNNNNNNNNNNNNNNNNNNNNNNNNNNNNNNNNNNNNNNNNNNNNNNNNNNNNNNNNNNNNNNNNNNNNNNNNNNNNNNNNNNNNNNNNNNNNNNNNNNNNNNNNNNNNNNNNNNNNNNNNNNNNNNNNNNNNNNNNNNNNNNNNNNNNNNNNNNNNNNNNNNNNNNNNNNNNNNNNNNNNNNNNNNNNNNNNNNNNNNNNNNNNNNNNNNNNNNNNNNNNNNNNNNNNNNNNNNNNNNNNNNNNNNNNNNNNNNNNNNNNNNNNACGAUUGUUGGGUGGUGGUGGUGGUGGUGGAUUACUUGGAGGGGGUGGAGGCGAUUUGUUGGGUGGUGGCGGAUUGUUUGGUGGUGGUGGUGGUCUUAGAAAAAUAGGGGGUAGUAUCAAUGUAAUAGCACUAUUAGGUAUAGUACUAGUAGGUGGCUUGAGUUGCUCAUGAUGUUCUUCAGCAAGACAUGAAGUGAUGAGAACCACCACUCCCAGCAAUAGCACAAGAAAUUUUAAGUAACUCAUCUUUGAGCUUAUGAAGUUACAAAGAUCAUAUGGAGCAUCCUUUUAUAGUGGUAUGGGUGAUUGGUAAUUGUAUUUAUAAUUUUGCUAAAUAGGGUGGUUGGUGAUUGUUAUAGAUUAGAGGUCCAUGCAACAUUAAUUGAGAUCAUAAGUUGGAGAAUUUGGGCAGUUGCUUGUUUGAUAUAUGCUAGAGAACGUUCAAAAUGUAAUGCAUAUUGGUUUUUUAUUUAUUUAUUUAUUUAUUUAUAGUAUAAGUGAUAUUAUAAACUACAGGAGAAUGAGAUUUCUCUUAUAUACACACAACUACGAUGUAGGAUUUAAAUAGAAAAACUCAUACUCUUAUCAUUGAGCUAUGAACUAGCAGAUAUUAAAUCUUACUCGUGUCAAAAGAGUUUAGGCUAAUUGCCCACUCUGAAAUGAAUGAGAAUGAGGGAGAUAAAAUUGUCAUAAAAGGACAGAACAAAAUAAUACAUAAGUUUUCUAAAAAUAAUAAUACAUAAUUUUUUAACAAAAAUAGCAACGGGCAUCCUUUUUUCUUCUUCUUUGGUUUGGUCCUCCCGUUCUAUUCACGGCAAUACCACUGAGGUGAUUGAGAAAUAGGCAUUGACAAUAAUACAUAAAUUUAAAGUCUAAACUCCAAGCUUAGCUUAGGGUUAAGUAUCCAAUAUUAAAGUUUAUGUCUUCCCUUGUGCUGCUGGUAGUAUUCAUCCACUCUUCAAAAUAUAGGAAGUAGAGUUGGGGGUUUGGCAUGAUGAGGUGGUGGUGGUGGUCUCACUAUAGGGGUUGUGUGGUCAUCAAAACCCUUUUAAUUUCCACCAAAACCCUGAGAUUGACUUUGUUGGAAAAUUUAAUAUUAACUAAUAUUGAUUUUCCUAUUUGAAUGGAAAUUAAUAAAAUUUAUUGGGUUAAAGACAUGACUCUUGGGUUAAAGACAUGACUCUUGGGUUAAAGACAUCUUCACAUGGGAGGUGACAACUUUUCAGACCAAGGGAUGCAUUGUUUGCCUUUUCAGAUUGAGAUACCUUUUUAGAAAGGGUAUUUCAUCAUCUAUAAAUAGAGCAAUCCUCCUGCAGUUUUAUUCAUUCAUGUUAAUUCUCUACAUACAGACUUUCACAUAUAGAAAGCAUUAGAGUUUUCAUAAAGAGAGGUUCCUGCAUAAUUUGGUUCAAAGUUCCUUGUGAAUUGCAGUGCUUCUUUCACAAGGAGGGGAGUCGUUGUAUCCUGAGAGGUGAACGCUAGUGAACCAUAAGCACCGUUGUGGGGCGUAAUUCGUCUUAAGGUCAAAGUGUCCAACACUUGCUUCGACUCAAUCAAGGUUCUUCUAAUUCAAUUCUCCUUUUGUAAAAAUCUAUUUUAUGUGCAGUAUUUAUUUUGUUUAUUUAUAGCAAUUUAGCACUCAUAUUUCCAACAGACUUGAUUGCCCUUCAAAAAGAAGAUUUCUCUGUAAUCCAUGUGAUAUUUGUGUGAUGAACUAACUCUUAGUCGAGUAGUAUUUAUUUUCCUAAUACAAAAAGAUGCGUCGAAUUGAAACCCUGUUCCUCUUAAUUUCCCCCUCAAACAGUUUGAGGGUAAAGUUAGUCUUAUGAUAUUAUGACUGUAGAGAGCUAGAACCAAGCAAAACAUUUUGUAUAUCUUUUCCUGUUUCUGGGUUUUAGGUUUAGCCCUUCCUUUUUUGGUUCGUUAGGCUCUUGGUUUCCUUUUAUUUUUUGGGCCGACGGAUUGAAUGUCAAAACCCAAAAUAUGUAAGUUCCAUAUACAUUUUCCAAACGAAUCUUAUGAUCUAAAUUGAAGAAUUUUAUGAUCUAAAAUUGUUGGUCGUAGGUAUUUUAUGGUUGGAGCCCUUCUGUUGUUCUUUGGGCUCAAGUUUAUUUACUUAUUUUGGGCUAUUUAUGACUUUUUGGGUCCCUUUCAAUUGAAGGGUCACUCUCAAAUAGAACAUAUUAUUGCUGGAAAUAGUUUUGCUCGUGAAAAAUAAAGAAAUUCGGUUUGCUGGAAAUAGCCAUUGACAAUAAUACAUUUUAAAGUCUUAAACUCUAAACUUAGCUUCGGUUAAAUAUUCCAUUAAUGGCAGAAUGUUAAGGCUAAAAGUGUAGGAAUGCCAGCCAAAGGGUAUUAUUAACUAGGGCUGGCAAUGGGUCGUGUCGUGUCGGGUUCGUGUCGUGUCGGGAUAAUAAACGUGUCAAGAAUGCUCAACCCGAACCCAACCCAUUUAAUAAACGUGUCGUGUCGGGUUCGGGUCGUCUUUUAUCGUGCGGGUUUCGAGUCGUGUAACGGGUUCAUAAAGAAUAACAUGCAUGUUACAAAACUCACAACCGAAAAAAUUUUAAUUAAAAAAAACAGAGAGAGUGGAGAAAAUAUAAGGAAAAGAAAGAAAGAAAAAAGAUAGAGAGAGGAGAGAAGAGAGAAGGAAAAGAAAGAAAAAAAAAUAGAGAGAGAGAGGGGGAGAGAGAGAGAGAGAGGAGAGAAGAGAGAAGGAAAAGAAAGAAAAAAAAAUAGAGAGAGAGAGGGGGAGAGAGAGAGAGAGAGGAGAGAAGAUUGAAGGAAAGAAAGAAAGAAAAAAGAGAGAUGAGAGAAAACUAAAGAGAAGGAAAAAAAAAGAAAAAAAAAAGGAGAGAAGAGGAAAGGAAAAGAGAAGAAAAAAAAAAGAGAGAGGAGAAGAAAGAAGGAAAAAAAAGAAAAAAAAAAUGGAGAAGAGAGACGGAAAAGAAAGGAAAACUCAAAAGAAAAAGAAACAUUAUAAAUAUCAAAAGGCAUACCAUAAAAUCACAAAGUUAGUUGUAGCAUGGUGGAUAAGUUGUUUGAGAAAAUGAGGAUGGGAGGGGUUCGAAACCCCUUGUGUGUGUGUUGAAGUCUCCAUUUGUCUUUAUUUUUUAGCGGGUUAGAGGGUUGUACACGGGUUGACACGACCCGUGACACGACCCGUUUAAUAAACGGGUUAGAUAGGUAUUAUAGCGGGUUAGCGGGUUGACUCGAAACCCACCCGUUUAUUAAACGGGUCAGAACGGGUUGACCCGAAAUUGACCUGUUUUUUUAUUGUGCGGGUUGAACCCGCUAAUUUCUCGUGCGGGUUUCGAGUCGUGUAUCGGGUCGUAUCCGAAAUUGCCACCCCUAUUAUUAACUGCGUCCAAGAAGCAUACUAAUAUCUUCUUUAUACGUCUGUGAGUCAUUAGUGAAUCUUAAUUGGUAUCAUGCUUUAUGCAUGGUUACUUACUUUGAUAUUCAAGGAGUAGAAGAAAUAAAUUUAUUGUGGUGUGGUAAUUUAAAUCAUGAAUAUAUAUAUAUAUAUAUAUGCAUGGAGCUUCCGUUAAGCGAUUCCUUAAAUAAGUUUAUUUGAGAUACACUCUUGUAGGGCCCACCAUACAUUGUAAUUCAUUAAUCCCAAUCAUCUUUGAAAAAAAUCACUUGAAUCCGAUAUCAUUUGAUCACUCAAUUAAAUUAUUGAAAUUUUAAUAAUUUCUUGACGCACCGUGUUCAUUGAUUUUGUAGGACACAAUUAGAUGUCUAAAUGGUUUCUGAUUUAUGUAAUUUUUUGCAAAGAUGAUUUAUAAAUGAAGAUUUCAAAAAUAGAUGGUUUGGAUUGUUAGAAAAAUAUUCGUAGGAUACCCUAAAGGUUCUACUUGAAAUAAAAUUAUUUGAGGGAUCUCUCAAUAGAAGGAUUGAAACACCUGAUUUGCACUAUCUCUGGAGCAAGACUAUUACAACUUGUUAAUUCAAAUUCAACAGAUUUACGCUAUAUACAUAAUUGUAAUCGUAAUCAUAUGAUUCAAACUUGAAACCCCAUUCAACUAAGUGAAUACAGCUACCCAUAAAAUCAUAAACUAGUUGAUACCAUAAUUAUUUAAUAUAAACAAAUUUUGAAUCCGUAUUUUCUGUUUAGUACCGUGCCUUUAUGCUGCUUUGUUCAUAUACUUGUAGUCUGCUAGUGAUGAAAAUGUUUGAGAUUAAAUUUAUUGAAGAUUUCCUGAUUUUGCUAGUUCUGUUUGCCAACCGAUUAUAAUUCUUUGUAUGUUCUGAAACCUUUGUUCAACAUGGUGGGUUUUAUAAUUUAGAAUAGAAGCUUAAAUUUUAUGAAUAAAACUUACUCACUUGGGAAAUAAUUGUUUUUUAAACAAAGAGAAUCUGAACAUAUGCUCCCUCGGAUACAAAGCAAAUUAGAACACCAACUUGUCCAAACAUAAUGAUGAUGACAUGAGCAUUGGUUACAAACACUAAUAAUUAGUUUAUGGUCAUUAAUUUGGAUGAAUAUGUGGUGUUGAGUUUGGGGUGUGGGGUUGUCUUGUAGUAUGGGGGCAGCUUCUAAUUAUAUAUGGAGCUGGAGUGAAUUUAAUAUAUAUCUUUCCCUGUGCUGGUAGGAUUCAGGACUCUUCAGUAUAGGAGGUAGAGUUGGGGGUUUGGCAUGAUGAGGUUGUGGUCUCACAAUGGGAGGUGAAGAACUUGGUGCUUUUUUUAAUAUAAUAUAAUUAUAAAUUAAUUUAAUUUACGGAGAAGGGAAUUUGAGCUUCAGUGCAGGAGGGGCCGGCUUACUAUCCUAGCCAAUUGGCUUACAUCUGUAAAGAACUUAUUGAUUUGACAGGUGGCUCUACUAUGAGAAAAACUUAUAUGAAACAGGGAUAUCACGGUUUUGCUAUCCCUAACCAAUUAUGCUAUGCCAAGUGGAAAAGUUAUCACGUGUGGCAUAGCAUGAUUGAUAGAGGAUAGCAAACCAGUGCUAUACCCAUUGCACAUAAGCAAGGUCUAAAAUAUCGAGAAAAUAUUGGACUCGUUCAAGGUUAAAGAAAACUUAAAAAACAUUAGCCUCUCUCUCUCUCUCUCUCUCUCUCUCUCUCUCUCUCUCUCUCUCUCUCUCCUUGCCGACAACCAACCUUUCUUAAGCUAGGGGAGGUGUCCACUGCCGCUCCUCCCCUCUGCCCAUCUUCUCCAUUCCUAUCCUCUCUCCCAUCUUUUUCCAUUCCUCUCAUCUUUUUUCUCCCUCUUUCCACUUUCCUUAGGGCUCUUGCUGGCCCUUAUCUCCCAUUCCUCUUCUCCUCUCUAGAUAUACUUAGAUCUUGGGCUUUUAGCCUUGAUUUAUUUGGAUCUAGGUAUGUUUGUGUGUUUUUUUUGUUUGGCUAUUUUUGCACUGUUCUAGGUGGCUGGUGUUGUCUUCAUCUCGGUGGCUACAUGUAACAUCCCACAUCGACUUACGAAGAGGGGAUGAUGUGACUUAUAUGUACAUGCUCACCUCCAUCUAGCACGAGGCCUUUUGGGAGCUCACUGGCUUCGGAGUCAUGAGAACUUCGAAGUUAAGCGAGUUUGGGCUAGAGUAAUCUCAGGAUGGGUGACCCAUUGGGAAGUUGCUCAUAAGUUCCCAGAAACAAAAAUCGUAAAGGCAGGGGGCCCAAAGCGGACAAUAUCGUGCUACGACCGAGCCGAUCAGGAAUGUGACACUGCAACAGUAGUGACGCUGGAUUGGGUCUCUCUCUUUAGGAGAGUUGGGAUACUUGGUGACUAAUAUUUUGUCUUUGUUUCAACGAUCGCGGCAGCAUCGACGCUGGUUGUAGUUGUUGGCAUGUGGUGGUGUGCCCUCUGAGGGGUUUCGUCUUCUGUUUUAGCAUAUGUUUUGUUGUCAUUUUCCAUUGUUUUGUUGCUCAUUUGCAGCUUGUCUCUACUCUGUGCAGCCCAAAGACCUAUGUUUGGUCAUAUGAGUUCCUUUGUCAUGUUCUAAGUUGAGUUGGAGUGCUUUUAAGAGGCCUCUCUUAUUAUUAUUUCAUGCUCUUCAACUGUGUGCUUUCUUGGGUUUCUGUCAUUUGUGUGUUUUUGUAGUUCGUAGGCAGUUAAAUGACUAUGAGUUUAUCUCAUAAAAGGCUUCUUUUGACAAUUGGGAUGCGAUGCGGUUCUCUUUAUGGGUCUAUUGUGUUAGUGUUUAAUUGAUUUUUUUUUUUCUGUUCUUGUAAUGGUCUUUUGUGGUUCAGGUCUUAGUCCUUGGCAUGUGUAGUACUCUUUCCUAUCCUAGGGUUUGUCUAAAGUGGUUUUCCUAAUAAGGUUUUAAUUAGGCUAUUGUAUUCAUACUAGUCUUUGUAUGCCGUUUUGGCUUAUUAAUGAAAUCUUCUUCUAUAAAAAAAGGUCUAAAAUAUCAAGGGUUUAGGAAAUAUCGGAGGUCCAAAAAUACGGAAAUAUUGGGAAAUUAUCGAUAUCGAGAAAAAUUGAAUAAAAACCACUGAAACUGUAAGAAAAUUUUGAUUCAAACUUUAGAGGUUGUUUAUUUUGUCAAUUAUCUAUUAUUUUGAUUUAUUUAAGUUGAUUAUAUAGCGAGCUAACAAACAAUAUGAGUGCAGAAAAUAUGUAGUAAUUAAUGAAAAAAAUUAAAUGCCCAUAAUCAUUUAUUCAUAAUGAUUUACUAUAAUAUUUUACACUUUAUAUAUUGCAUGGUAAGAUGCACAAGUGACUUAGUACCACAUAGAGUUCCUAUGAGGUUCAAAAUUUUCAUUGUCUUCAUCGUCUCUAUGUGUAGAGUACGUGUACUAUGAAGAGUAGUCAUCAAAUGGUAAAUUCCCAAAAUAGCUUUGCAUGUAAUUGUUAACAUGUCACCCAUAAAGAUCCAAGAUUGGUUGACGUUGCCCAUAAGCAAAAUCAUUUGAAGAUUGGGCAUCAGAUUCUUUUCAUGAGCCGCUUGAUUCUAUCCCAAAAGGCAUGGGAUACGAAGCAUAAGGAAAGAGUUGGUUUUGCAUAUAAUAAAGUCAUUAGCAGUGUGGAGGAUAAGGCAUUGGAGGAAGAAUUGAAGUGGCACGGGUUCGAAUCCCCAUGCUUACACGCGUACAAGCCUUUUCAAUUUUUUUUUUUCUAUUCCAUGUCCAUAUUGCAUUAUUAUCACUAUUAUCACGAUAUUUUGAGCAAAUGUUGAUGUUAAUUGAAGGAUAUUAUUAGUGUCGAAAUUUUCCCAAAAUUUUCACGAUAUUAUCUAUAUAUAUAAAGCAAAAGGCAGAGAAUGGUGAAACAUUCAAAAUACCAGAAAAUGCCCUUGGUUAAUACAAACAUUAAGAAUUGAAAUUAUUAAUUAAAUGAGGAUAAUAUGGUAAAUUCAUAAUUUUUCGUAUUAAAAAAAUUAAAAUUAAAAGAAAAUUCAGAUAAUAGGUCCUAUUUUUAUGGAACACAAAUAUCCAUUAUCUUUUUUAAUUCUAAAAUAAAUUUAAAUUUUUUUUAAAAAAAACCUCUCGCAUGCGCGGAAGCGCGUGUAGAGAGGCUAGUCUAUAUUUAUAUGAUAAGUACACAGAUCUGUUCCAAAAUAUCCCCUUGCCGAAAAACGAUAAUAUCCUCAAUAUUUCAGCGAUAUUAUCGAUAUUUCAGUCCUUGCACACAAUUAAGUUUCUCCUCUACUAUAGCACAAUCUCCAAACAAUAGCACACGCAACUUUGAGAAACUUUUGAAAGCAAUUUUCCAUCAAAAUCCUGAUAUUGAUUUGAUUGCCCUCCACAAGAAAACAUUCUAUGUAAUCAAUUUGACACGUGUGAUCAUAUUGCCCUUAAUAUAUUAGUACUUUUUUUCUUCUUCUGAAAACAAGAAGAGGUUUCAAAUUUAAAUCCCUUUUCCGUUAAUUUUUUUUUAAAAAUGAUGUUGGUGUAGUGCCUAUUAAAGAUGGCUUGGCGGUAAAGUUAGUCUAAUGAGAUUCUAAGAUAUAGAUGGAUUGUUUAGUUCAAGAUUUAGGAGCUUAGUAAUUGGUAUGAAAUUGCAUUCCCAUAUUUGGUAAAUGCAUUUUUUAGAAUGCAAUACCUAACUCAUUAGUAUGAAAUUCUCAUGUAGAGAGAAUUUCAUACCUUUAGUGCUCCUUGGGAAACUCUUCGUCUAUUGACCCUUAAAAUAGGGUCUAGUCUAGUGGAAAAGAGCAUUGACUUGCAGGUCAGUUGUCUCAUGUUUGAAUCUAGAUGGCACUUUGGAUGUGAGAAACCCUUUUGUAGGACUUAGACUAUCAAUAAUAUUAAAAUAAUACUAAUAAUAACUCAAGGGUGUUACUGAAAAACUGAAAAACUGAAAACUGAAAAACUUUUCAUUUAUAAUACUACACGAACCACACAUAGGAAUGCGAGAAAAUGGCUUUUCCUAAUUCUCACUUCCCAGCGUUCCCAAUCAUGGGAAUGAACAUCCGUCAUUCCCAUAUCGUAGGAUUAGACAUGGAAAUUUCAUUCCCAUGAAAUUUGCAAACCAAACGGGACAGAGAGUUGGAACAAUGCAAAGAUUUUGUUUAUCUUUUGGUUGGGCCAAUAAGUUUCUGGGCCUCCAUUUAUUGUAUCUGGGCCGUUAGAUUUCGGCCUCCCUGUUCUGUUUGUAACCCAGCGGAGGUUGGAGCGCUUUUCUUGUUCUUUGGGCUUAGUUAUAUUUCCUUGUUCUUUGGGCUAUUUCUAAAUUAUUUGGGUUGUGCCUUUUUCUGCGUUUGACGUCGUUUAAUGUUUAAUUUGUUUGAUUUUUGAGUUGGAGCUGGUUGGGUCCUUCUCAUUUGAAGGUAGGGUCAGUCUCAAAUGGAAAAUAUUAUUGCUUGAUGUGAAAAAUAAAGAAAUUCGGUUUUGUGGGCUUAUGGCCUAAAUUAAUUGAGGAAUAAUGCCAUUCAAAAGACUGAAUUAACAUGACCCACAUUUUUCCAUCCUGGAAAACUUGUUCCUUAAGCAGAUCAUGGCUACUGAUGAAGUAAAGAAGAAAGGGAUGCUUAAAAAGAGAUAUAUAUAUAUAUAUAUCAAAUGAGCCAAGAAUUAAUGAAAUUUUGUAAAACUGAGAUUACUGAAUUACUUGAAAAAGGAAUAAUCUGUAAGAUUAGUCACCCUGGUCUUGUCCUGCUUUCUAUGUCCAGAAAAAUGCUGAAUUAGAACGCGGAGUCCUAAGAUUAGUCAACCCAAGUGGCUGGUUUAGAUUUUCUGAGUCAAAAGAGUCUUUGAGCACAGCUUCAAGAAAGUCACUCCAGUUGAAUUAUGAGAUUCCUAAAGCCCAUGUCUGUCAAAAUAAAAUCUGUUUUAAGACUUCUUUUGUCUUAGUUAAGAACAUUACUGAUGAAGUCAUCCUAGGUUUAUCCUUUAUUGCCCUUUUAUAUCCUUUCCAGGUAGAACACGAUGGAGUCAUUUCCACCUGUUUAGGAGAAAAGGUUAAGUUUGAAUUCCUUAGUAAACCAGAGUUACAUAAUUUAAAAGAAUUACAAAAGAAUGCAGUCACUAAAACAAUCAGAGUCAUUCAAAAUAAAGAUAAGCAACUAAAAUUCCUCCAGGACGAAGUUAAAUAAAAAAGAAUUGAGCAACAGCUUAGUCAUGAGUCUUUACAGUCACAAAUUCGACAGUUUGAAGAAAAAUUAAAACAAGAAGUUUGUUCUGAGUUGCCCAACGCCUUUUGGCAUAGGAAACAGCAUGUAGUCAGCCUUCCUUAUGUCAAAUCCUUUAGUGAGAAAAAUAUCCCCACUAAAGCCAGACCAAUUCAAAUGAGCCAAAAAUUAAUGGAAUUUUGUAAAACUGAGAUUACUGAAUUACUUGAAAAAGGAAUAAUCCGUAAGAGUAAGUCACCUUGGUCUUGUCCUGCUUUCUAUGUCCAGAAAAAUGCUGAAUUAGAACACAGAGUCCCAAGAUUAGCCAUUAAUUACAAACUGCUUAAUACUGUUUUAGAAUGGAUUAGAUAUCCAAUCCCCAAUAAAAGAGAUUUAAUUAAUCGUUUAGAGAAGUCAGUCAUCUUUUCUAAAUUUGAUAUGAAGAGUGGAUUUUGGCAAAUCCAAAUUUGUGAGUCUGAUAGAUAUAAAACUGCUUUCGUUACCCCAUUUGGUUAUUAUGAGUGGAAUGUUAUGUCAUUUGGUCUUAAAAAUGCACCCAGUGAGUUUCAAAAUAGAAUGAAUGAGAUUUUUAUUCCAUUUAAUCACUUUUCCAUAGUCUAUAUUGAUGAUGUACUUAUAUUUUCUGAGUCAAUAGAACAGCACUGGAAAAAUUUGCAUAAGUUCUUACAAAUAGUCAAACAAAAUGGAUUAGUCGUAUCUGCUAAGAAAAUUAAGUUAUUCCAAACUAAUGUGAGAUUUCUUGGGUUUAAUAUCUGUCAGUCACAGAUUAGCCCCAUAGAUCGAGUUAUCCAAUUUGUUGAUAAAUUUCCUAAUCAAAUCCUAGACAAAAGUCAACUCCAGAGAUUUCUAGGAUCUCUAAAUUAUGUUUCUAAUUUCUAUAAGAAUUUGAGAAAACAAUGUAAGCCUUUAUUUGAUCAUGUAUGGAGACGUCUAAUGAUAAGAGGCAACUGGAAGAUUAGACGGAGCAAUAUCUUGGAAGGGAUCAUGACUGGAUAUUAGGGCAGACUGAAAACUGGGGCGAACCUGGCCGACUGUGGCUCCUAGGUUGGCAAAUCUGUUACUAAUUUGGAUGGGAGAAAAUCCCUGAAAGGGGAGGAUCUGAGCAGGUGACUCUUGUUUGGCUUGACUCAUUGAUGGAGGGAGGACUCGGAGUGACUGGGGUUGACUAGACUGACCAACUUGACUCUUUUGCUUGUCUUUUUCUUUUCUUCUUUAUGCCAUUGUUUUCCCUGCAGGAAUUCUCUAGUAAGAAAAUCAGGGACAAAAUAUAUAUAUGGAGUUUGAGUUGAGGGAUCUCUCAAAUAAGCUUAUUUGAGAGACAACUUGUAGGGUACACUCUUUGUUGUAUUUCACUAAUCCUAACCGUCUAUUUUUUAGAUAUUCAUUCAAAGAUCAUCUCUACAAAAAAUCACUUGAAUCCAAUAUCAUUUGACAAUUCAAUUGAAAUAUUGAAAUUUUAGUAUUUUCUUGAAGCACUGUGUUAAUUAAUUUUGUAUGACACAAUUGAAUAUUGAAAUAGUUUCCGAUUUGUCCAAUUUUUUUUCAAGGAUGAUCUAUAAUUGUAGGCUUAAGAAAUAGAUGGUUUGGAUCGUUGAGGGAUCCCUCAAAUAAUCUUAUUUAAAAGACACCUUUGUAGAGCUCACUCCACAUUGUAUUUCACUAAUCUAAACCGUUUAUUUUUUAGAUAAUCAUUCAAAGAUCACCUCUACAAAAAAUCACUUGAAUCCGAUAUCAUUUGACAAUUCAAUUGAGUUAUUGAAAUUUUAGUACUUUCUUAAACUACCGUGUUCAUUGAUUUUGAAGGACAUAAUUGGAUUUCGGUUUCUAUUUGUCAAAAUAUAUAUAUAUUGAACUACUUUUUGUUGCCAUUGUCUGCUGCUAGAUUCACACACACAUAUAUAUGCUCUUCCAUUGAUGAAGCUGGCAUUAUAUUUAUAGUGAAUUUCGUGAUGUGGAUUAUUGUGUUUGCGGACCAAUCAUUCUCUGUAUGUUGUGAAAGCUUUGUUUAUCAUGGUGGGUUUUGUCAUUUAAAAACAUAUACAAUGUCAACCAACCAAUUUUACAAUAUCAUAAAACACAAGUAAUAGUAUUACUGCAGUUGGAAAUUGAUAUUGCAUACAUAUAUAAAGCAAGAAACAACAUGCUCAAUCAGCCACAAGUGAAGAAACAACUUGCUGAUACAUAACCACAUGACAUGAAAAUUUCAUGCAAAUAACUAGUAAUUAUAAUGGAGUCACACUAGAAGCUGCUGCAAAAUGAGUUGGUGUCCAGAACUCUUAUUUCUAGCAAGCAACUGGCUCUCUCUCAUUUAUUCUAACUCACUAGUUGAGAUGGACAGGUGGAGUUCAGGGCUUCUGGGGUGGAUUGUAGUAUGGGGGAGGCUUCUUCUUAUAUGGAGUUGGAGGAGGAGGAGGUUUCUUCCCUUCUGGCUUUUGUGGGGGUAGAGGAGCCUUGAUUGGAGGAGGGUGUUUAGGGUAACUAGGUGUGAUUGGUUUCACAACAGGAGGUAGAGUUGGUGUCUUAGGAUAAGGUGGUGGAAGUGGCUUGGUCACCGGCGUAGGUGGCGGUGAAUGUACAAUAGGAGGCUGAGUGCUUGGUGGUUUGCCAUAAGGUGAGGAUGGUGGUGGCCUCACCACUCUAGGAGGCAGAGUUGGUGGUUUGGGUUUGGGCACUAUUGGUGGUGAUGGCUUGUUAUAAACUGGGGGUGAUGGCUUCUUGAUGGGAGCUGGGGGCUUGUAAAUAGGAGAAGGAGUUGGUGGUUUGGGUUUGGGCACUAUUGGUGGUGAUGGCUUCUUGAUGGGAGCUGGGGGCUUGUAAAUAGGAGAAGGAGUGGGUGGCUUGGGUUUUUCAUUGUACUCAGCUAGAGAUGAAGUGAUGAGAACCACCAGGCCAAACAAUAGCACAAGCAACUUUGAGUAACUCAUGGUGUUUGUGUUUUUGUGAUGGUAUAAGAUCUAGACGGCAUCGUUUGCUAUUUAUAGUGCUCUCAGGCCUGUGUCGGCAAUACGUGUCAAAAGAUCUUGGUCAUUUUGUUUCAUAGUUAACAGUCAAGGAUUUUCAAAUUCAUGAGAAGAAAAGUACGAUUUUUUUGGCUGAAUAAAAGUUUAGAAGAGGGGAGGCUACACCAUCUUAGAGUUAGGACAUAUCAAAGUUUUCUUGAGGAUUUACAGAGGGGGUUUUAGUCUUUUUUUUUUGUUUUUACAGAUUAUCCCCCAAAAAGAAUUUUCGGCAACAGAACCCGAAUCUAAGUCUUGAUAGCAAAGAGAAUGAUCCUUAUCAACUCAACCAACCCUCGUUGACAGAGAAGUAAGAUUUUCAAUUGGUACGGAUGAUUGUUGAUAUAAGUGUUGUUGAUAGAGAAUCCCAAGUAUAAAUGGUAAAUUCUCUUAAUCAUUUGAGCAACAAAUUCUUUAUAAGUAAUUUGACUGAUUGAUUAUUGAUUGCAAUAAUGGUAAGUGUAAAUAAAAAUUGAGUAGUAUUUAAUGGAAAAUGACAUGACAGUAUUUUACUAGUUGAAAAUAGAACCAAGUUGUCGGUGUAGAUAAAAACAAAUGAUUCAGUCUUCCAAAAUGUGGAGAUUUGAAUUUGUGUUCGUCUAGCAUUAAUCUUUUAAAAAGAUUUUGGAUUUUUAUGUGAAUUUAAGUUAAUUUGAGUCUACAUUAUGCGUUCCAUGGUCUAUAUAAUUUAGACUGGUUUAAUUUUCCACAUUGAAUGACUUUUGUAUGUGGACUUUUCCCCCCAUCUUUCUUUAUUAUUGUCCUCUCCUCCGUUGUCGUUAGUUUUGUCACUUAUCAUCCUUGUGGUGUGAUGAUAAUUGGAAACGAGUGUUUCUAUUCUCGUUUCCCAAGCUAUGUUAUUAAAAUCUAACAUGAUUUGCAAAGGAUUCAUUAGGGUAGUAAUUUGGAGUAUUUAUUUCCUCAGGUAAGUUCUGGGUUCGAGUCGUAGUAUCUGUGUAGUGUGUGAGAGUUUAGCAUGCUAUUGCCCCUCUCAAUAGGAAAGGUCCUAAAAAAAAUCUAACAUGGUUUAUAUUGGUAUCAGGACUCUUCCAAUGGGACUACUGAGGGAACUGAGGCCAAGCCAUUGAUAUGUCAGCUUAGCGUUAAUGAAGAAAUAAAUAUAUUUGCUAACCAAGGUGGUAUGGGACUAGUGUGUAAGUAAAUGCCUUCUUCAUUGGGCUAGACUCUGUUAGCAUUAGGCAUUAAAACUUAAUAUCUCUUCCAACGGUGAAAAAAGAUGUAUCACUGAAUCACUAUAGGUACGGUAUUAUUUCACUUUCAUCUUUUACUAUCUAUUUUCAACGUACUAUAUCACUAUUGGAACAAUGCAAAAUUUCUGGAAUCAAUUAGGGAACAAAGGUGUGAAUAUUAUAUCUCCGUUCCCUUUUGUAAUAAAAUAUGUAUAGAGUUGAGCAAUGGUCACAAAAUUCGUUGCUUUCCAAUAGAUUGCUAUUUCAUUUCUGGUUAAAUCGUCUUGUAGUGGAAAAAACUGAGUCUUCAGCAGCCGCGUUUCUUGAUUUCUCUCAUGGAUUUGGUGAAUUUGAUGGCUGCUUGCGGACCAAUUAGCCGAAGGACAUGUGCUCUCUAUCUAACCCCGUCAUAGUCUGUAUAGCUCUACCUAAAAGGUAAAAAUCAGAGAAAGGAGAGAUCGGACUUGCGACCAAAUAUAUAGUGAGACACAUUACAAGAUUCUUGAAAGAUCUUGAGCCUCUCGAUCUAAAUUGGUUUUGAUUUGGAUGUUCAUAUUUUAUAUUCUAUAUAUAUAUAAUAACGUAAUAUAUUUACUAAUCUUGUUUUUACAGAAAAUUGUUAAGGAUUAUUGCAAAACGAAAGUGUAUUUGUUUAUUUGUUUGGGUUAUUCCCACAAUGUUCAUCCCACCGCCGCGUAUUUUGCUUUCUCUAUAGUGGUUAGGUCCAUUCACGUCAAUAUUAUAUUCAAUCUAAUUUUAGCUUUCAAUUACCAGUGUCCACUCGGUUUUCUUGACGUUUUGAUGUCAUGUAUUGGACCCGAAUAUCGGAUAUCAUCUGUCUCUUCCGCUGAUGAAGGGAUAAAUGCCAUCGAAUCAGAAGAUCUUACUUUUCCAAGGGGGCUUUUCUCUUGUCUCCUCCCAAUCUUCGUCGACUAAGAUCUUACUUUUCUUUUUCUUCUUUUAUAUUUCUACCUUCUUAAUCACUGUACGAAGGGAGAAUUUAUCAAAAAUAGCUAAAAUUUGACUCUUAAUUUCAAAAAUGUUAAUUUUUGUAAAAAUUUCAAUAUAACAGAAAACUCACUUAAAUAGAUACAAAUGUCCUUAAAUUUAAAACUUACAUAAACCUAAAAAAGAAACCUUAUUAAAUAAAACUUUGAAAUAUUUCCUCCAAACACUUUUCCAAUCACCUCUAUUUCUUUUUCUCUUUUUUUUUCCUUCUUCCGUUUGUCUCCAGCAUCACUCCCUCUCUUUUCCUUUUUUUUUUUCUUUCUUCUUCUCUCCACAUAUAUAUAUAUAUAUAUAUAUAUAUAUCUAUCUAUCUAUCUCUCUCUCUCUAUCUCUCUCUCUCUCUCUCUCUCUCUCUCUCUGUGCAUAUCUCUAUUCUUCUUCUCUCCCAUUUUCUCCAAAUAAAAUGUAUGUAUUUAUUUGGCAAAAAAAAAAGUAUUUAGAACCAAAAAUUCAGAAAAUGAUUGAAUCAAUGCACAAGUAUAAUUUCCUCCUCUCACCCAAAAAAAAAUAUUUAUUUCACAUAACUUUAAUUCUUCAAAAACUGUCACAAAUUUAGAGGUAGUCUGUAGAACAAAAAAUUCAAUAAAACGAUCUACAUUAAAAAAAUAUAUAAUUAAAUAUUCAUUCAUUACAAUUCAUAAAGUUAAAGAGAAAAAUAUUACACCAGUCCGUCUAUGAGGUAGGAUGAAGUGCAAUUGAAUUCUUGGAAGUUUGUCAAUAAUGGCCAAUUGAACCACAUCUUGAACACUUACGAGUUGAUGGUUCUUCUCCUCGUGAUGGGAUUCUCUUUUCCUCAAGCCUGCCGUGCCUUCUUCGUGUAAUUGGUGGUAGCACAAUUCUAUCUCGUACAUCAUCAAGCACCACCCAAUCUGUUUGAUCCCCAACUAGCCAUAUAGAUUCUGCAUCCGCAAUUACCAAUGAGUUUGUAGUAUAAUAUUUUGAACACAUUGGGUAGCACGAAAUUUGUCAAUGCGUACAUGCAGCACAAGCAUCUUCUGCUACACAUAUGUCAGAAUCAUCAUAUUACUAGACUCAAUAAUUUUCCAAGCCUAUCAGCACUAACCUUUGAUGCAGGCUCAAAGUGAAUUGACGAUAUUAAAUCAUAGCACUUUGAAUAGGGCUCAAGAGUCCAUUAACAGAAAUGUCGCAACUAUGGACAUUAAGUUAGCAAAACCAGAAUUGAAAUUUUAUAAAUAUAGUAUGAAGAAUAAACGAAGAAACGAAGUAACGAAGAAGAAAUUGAACGAAGAACCAAAGAAGAACAGCACUCUACGUACAAAGAUUCUCAAUCUAAUAGGGUUUUGUUUUUUAGGUUUAUGUUGGUUUUAAAUUUAAGGGUAUUUGUGUCUAUUUAGGUGAGUUUUCUUCUAUAUUUGAAAUUUUUUAUAAAAACUAACAUUUUUGAAAUUAGGGGUCAAGUUUUGGCUAUUUUUGAUAAAUUCUCAUACGAAGGAUUAUCUUUUAGGUGUGAACCUUAAAACACCAUUGGAUGAGAUUUAUGAUUCGUGUAGGAAAAAAAAAUCAAAGGAAGAAUGAGGAGAGCGAUGUUGAAGAAUAUUGAAGUCCCACAUCAGAAACUUAACAAAAUAAUCAAAUACUCCAUAUAAUGAAUGAUUCCACUAUUAAUAAUAUCGAGACUUUUUGUAUAAAAUUUCACAACUGCUAAACAAAUGGUUAAAUUAAAGACAAUAUUGAUAUUAUUAGUAGUGGGUCAUGAGUCCCGAAUAAUUCAAGGGUCAUGAGUCCCGAAUAAUUCAAGGGGAUGGUUUGAAAAAUUCAAUCUAAUUCUGGCUUUCAAUUACUAGUAUCCACUCGUUUUUCCUGAUGUUUUGAUGUCAUGUACUGUUUGAUUUUCAAACUAAUUAUGGGAUGGUUUGAAAAAUCAAACUAAUUAUGGGAUGGUUUGAAAAAUCAAACUUAGAGAAAGCAACCCUUACUGCCUAGAAAAAGAAAAAGGUUAGCCGGCCCUAACUUCUCGUUAAGGAUAAAAAUUUGAACCGGCAAAUCAGUGAACCGGAACCGAAUCUGCAUGAACUGGCUAUAUUUAUAUCUAGUUUUUAAUUUAUUUUUACAGAUGUCUUGUUCUCAUUGUUUUUUUUUUUUGACCUUUCCUAUUGAAAGGGGCGAUAACAUAUUAAACUCACACACACAACACGGAUGUCUUGUUAUCAUUGUUGAUUCUAUACAAUUAGUACAAAGUAAUUUAACAAACAAAGCAAUUUUCUAAAACGGUCCUCCUUUUUUCUCCUUCUAUGGUUUGGUCCUCCUAAUCUAUUCACGGCAAUACUUUGGGCACUGAGGUGAUUGAGCAUAGCCAUUGACAAUAAUACAAUUUAAAGUCUUAAACUCUAUACUUAGCUUAGGGUUAAGUAUUCCAUUAGUGGCAGAAUGUUAAGGCUAAAUAUACGCUAUCUUAAAAAGUCAACCACAAUUAUAUAUGUAACGCACUAUAAAUAUAAAAUGGGGUUAAUGACCUAAAUGGUCUUUCAACUAUUGCUCCAUUAUCAUUUUGGUCCACCAACUAAAAUUUUCAAUUCAAACGUCCUCAAACUUUUUAUUUUGUACCAAGAUGGUCCAUCCGUGACAGAUUCUGUUACUUCUGAUCACGCGAUGGCCACGUGACUGAGUUUUGAAGGGUAUAUGCAACUUUUUGAGAAGCUUUAUCGAAGGGUAUCACUAAAAUGGUCCAUCAACUGUUGCUUCAGUAUCAUUUUGGUCCACCAACUAAAAUUUUCAUUUGAACUGUCCUUCUACUUCUUUUUUUUUUCUUUUUUUUUUGUUAUCAAGAUGGUCCUACUAUCAAAGUCCAUCAAUUUUAUUGUUAUUUAAUUUUGUAUUUAUCUUAUUUUAAAAUUUUUAAUUAAUUUAAACAAUAGAGAAAUAAAUAUUACUUUUUAAGUCCAUGUCAUAAAAUAAAAAAAGCCAUGUUGGUGGUGAGAUUCAAUUUUUUCAAUUUUAAAAUUAGGUACAAGUUCCUAUAAUAGUUUCCUUUAAUUUUAAUUAUUAUUUUCUCUUUUAAAAAAUUUGUUAUUAUAUAUAUGUGAUUUUAAUUAAUUUAAACAAUAGAGAUUUUAUUAUUAAUUGUUAGGUCAGUGUCAUAAAAAAAAAAAAGCCAUGUGGCUAGUGAGAUUCAAAUUUUUAAAAUUUUUUAAGUUUUAUAAUAGUUUCCUUGAUACCAAAAAAAAAAAAAAGAGUUGAAGGAUGGUUCAAAUGAAAAUUUUAGUUGGUGGACUAAAAUGAUACUAGAGCAAUAGUUGGGGGACCAUUGUGAUCAAUAACCCUUUUAGAAGAGGAUACUCACCUAAAAAUACGGUUUUGUCCCUCGAUUUCACGGAAUAAUACACAGACUUUGACAGAUGGACCAUCUUGGUACAAAAUAAAAAGUUUAAGGACGUUUGAAUUGAAAAUUUUAGUUGGUGGACCAAAAUGAUAAUGGGAGCAAUAGUUGGGGGGACCAUUUAGGGUCAUUAACCCAUAUAAAAUCGUUAAGGGUAAUGUUAUACUAGAUCCCGAGUCUAUGCAUUUAGAGUCCACGCAUUUACCCGUAUUUGACUUCAUAUCAACCAUUACAAAGAUCCAACGACUUAAAAUAUGAUAGAUCAUUAUUACAUCAUAAAGUUUUAUUUUUCUAACUGACGUUACUGUUACCAUUUCCUCAAAGCCUUUCUCCCUUGCUUGUUCUCUUCCCUCUCUAAUCUCUCUCAAUUUUUGCUUCUCAUGAAUAUCUACUACCCAGCAUCAUAAAUUGAAUUUCCUAUUUUUAGUACAAUUUCAAUCAAUUCCCCCAUUGCCAAUUGGUUUUGGAGUGUAACCUCAACUUCCUUCACUUAUGUCCUCAGGCUCUCUCCAGUUUGUAUUGUUUGCUUUUUGGGUUUUGUGUAGGUGAAGGAAGUUGAUAAUUGAGUCUGAGAGCGUUUAUGGUGGCGAGAAAGCUUUGUUUCAAUGGAUGUUCUUUUUUUGCAAUGUCUGUUGAUUUGGCUUCCUCGUUUUUAGAGAGACAGAGUUAAUGGAAGGACUAAUGUUAGUUUAGGGAAGAAAAAAAAAACUAAAUUUCAUAACCGACACGUGGUAUAAAAUGUAGAGAUGCCAUAUUAUGUGAUAUAAAAAUGUGGUAAGACUAAUAUUAUUGUAACCGUAAUCAUAUGAUUCAAACUUGAAACCUCAUUCAACUAAGUGAAGACAACUACCCAAAAAAUCAUAAACUAAUUGACAUAAAAACUAUUUAUUAUAAACAAAUUUUGAAUCCAUAUUUUCUGUUAAAUAUAGAUGUAGGACUAGGGUUAAGUAUUAAGUUGGAUGAUAUUUUUGUCUUUUUACUAUAAUUAUUCUCUCUGCUGCUACGGGAUGGGUUAAGGCCUCCCUUGCUGCUGUGAUUAAGGUGGAUAAGGUGCAUUCUUUUAUCUAUUGGAAACCUCCUCGCCCUGCUCAGUUUAAACUUAAUGUUGAUGGGUCUAGAUGCACUUCCUCUGGAUGUAUUGGGGCUGGGGUUGUGAUUCGUGAUGCUUAUGGGGGCGGAUUGGUGGUUUUUCAGUGCACCUUGGCCACAGACAUAUCUUGGAUGCUGAAAUUUGGGGGUUAUAUUUUGGCCUUAAGCUUGCUGUGACUAAGGGUAUAAGCUGCCUUAUUAUUGAAAUGGAUGCUGCUGUGGUUGCCCAACUAGUCAAGAAUAUUGAUGGUCUGGCUCACCACCCCUUUGCUUUACUGAUUAAUGUUUGCUGUGCUCUCAUGCAACAAUUUGCAAAUAGUUGCACUCUCCUUCAUAUUUACAGAGAAGGAAAUUGUGUGGCUGACGGUUUGGCAAAUUGGAGUUACAACUUAGACCUGGGUAUCCUUUAUUUUAAUGAAGCUCCAAAUGUGUCAUAUCUUAAUUCAUUAGAUUAUUAGAACGAUGGGUAAAUGCACACUAUCUAAAUGCAGAGGCUCAGAAUCCGCCUAGUUUAAACUUUUAAGCUAUUUAUAUAUAUAUAUAUAUUUUAUAGAGAUGGACCAAUCAUAUUGAAUUAAAAAAUAACUAUAGUAUUUAUGAUUCCCUAAACUAUGGAGUAUGAUUAGAGUUCAAAUUUGGUAGAGAACUCCUAAAAUAACUUUUAUGUGUUUUUAGCUAAAUUUUAGACACACAAAACUGACCACAUUAGCCGACCACCUUAUGUGGCAGCUGAUGUGGUCAUGCCAUAUUUUUAUCUCACAUUUCCAUACCACAUAAUGUGGCAUGUCCAUAUCAUAUGCCACAUCAAUUAAAUCAAUAGAGUGUAUUUUAAUUAAGACAAUUAGAAAAAAAAAUACUGGAAUAAAUCAUAAAAGAAAAGAAAAUAUUAAAUACUUUUAAUUGAUGUGGUUAUCCACCUCAGCUGCCACAUAAGAUGGUAUAAGGAUGUAGUAUACAAAUAUAGUAAGAGUAGCAUUAUUCUUUCAAUAUAGUAAUCAUCGUUUAGAGAAAGAGUAAGGCUACACUUACUAUAUUUUUAUACCACAAUCCUAUACUAUAUGAUGUGGCAAUCCACAUAAUUAAGCUGACACGUUAAUAAAUUGUGAUAAAAGGUAUUUAAUAUAUUAUUAAUAAUAAUAAUUAAUAUAAUAUAUUAUUAAUUCAACAAACAAUUUAGGGUUAAGUCUUUAUUUAUUUAUUUAGUUCGCAUAAUAGGGUUAAGCCUUUUAUUGAUGUUCUAUUAUGUUCGUCUCUUUCUCUUGCCAGUUUUUUGGUCGGCUUGUUAAUAAAUCACCUACUGUUUUUUUUUUUUUUUAAAAGAAAAAGAUUUCAUUCAUAAGCCAAAACGGCAUACAAAGACUGACAUUAAUUCAUUAGCCUCAUUAAUACCUUCAUAGGAAAACCACUUAGGAUAAACCCCAAGGUAGGAAAGAGUACCACCUAUGUCAAUGACUAACAAGAGAGUUUGACCCAGACCACAAAAGACAGUUACAAGAACAGAAAAAAAAAUCCAACUAAACACCAACAGAGUGGACUCAACUGUCAAAAGAAGCCUUCUAUGAAAAAAACUCUUAGUCCUUUGACUGCCCAUGAACUGCAAAAACACACCAAGGAUAGAAACCCAAGAGAGCAUACGGAGGAAGAGCACAAAAAAAUAACAAGAGAGGCCCUGAAAAGCACCCCAACUCAACUUAGAACCUGACAAAGAAACUUCUAUGACCAAACAUAGGUCUUCGGGCAGCGCAGAGCAGAGACGAGCUGCAAAGGAGCAACAUAACAAUGGAAAAUGACAGCAAAACAGAACACAUCCCAACAACUACCAUCAGUGUCUGUCGCUGCCAUCAAAACAUAGACAAAACAUUAGCCACCAGGUAUCACAACGCUCCCGAAAAAAGAUCAAAUCCAGCGUCACUACUGCUGCCGUCAUCGAGACAGAGACAACACCAGCCACUUACACCACUGCAAAAACAACUAAAUAAAACAAACAGACCUAGAUCCAAACAUAUCAAGGCUAAAAACCCAAGAUCUAAUUAGAUUUGGGAGGAGAAGAGGAAGGGGAUAGAAGGGCCAGCAAGAGCCCCUAGGAAAGUGGGAAGAGAGGGAGAGAGGAGGAAAUGGAGGGAAAAAGAUGGGAAAAGAGGAGAUGAAGGGAGAUGAUGGGCAGUGGCCACCUCCCAUAGCUUAGGAAAGGGUGGUUGUCGGCAAGGAGAAAGAGGGAGGGUUUUGGCUAGGGUUUACUUUGCUAUCUCUUUUGCGUAGCAAUAAAUCACCUACCGUAGGAGUUGCAUAAAAUCCGAUUGCAAAUCCUAGAACUCCCAAAAUCAGAUCGAAUCGUGGCUUAAUUAGCAUCUAUAUGGUCAUAAACAGAUGAAAUCAUGGGUAUUGAAAAAUGAUAAUGAUAUAUCAAAUCUCCUAAAAUCAUCCUUGUCGGUAGAGAAGUUUCAGCGUUGUUCAACAAUUGAAGAUGAGGGUAACACAUUUAAUUCAUUAAUGAUAAGAGCAUUUUAAUACAUAUAACUUGUCUUCCCUAAAAUUACUCUUGCUAGCAUUUUAUUUAGCUUACUUUGCAUUAAUUAUGUUGUUUUUGUCAAUUGGGGUGUUUUGGAAGAUUUCAAUAAAAAAAUAAGGAUAUUUUAGUGCUUAUUAUUCUUGAAUUUGCACAUGGCAGCAACUUUGGGGAGCCAGCAGCUAGAGGAAAUCAUUCAUGUGUGCAGCGAAUGAAAGGCAAUAGGAAUUAAAAAAGAUGGCAAGACUUGCUACACCUUCUGACCAAGGAAGAAAACCCACGUGCGCGAGCAGCCAAAGCCAAAGUAAUGUGUGCAGCAACAAAUGAAAAAGAAAAGGAAAAAGUAUAAAGAAUGAUGUUGGCUGACAAAAGAUAUGAAAUUCAAAUGCCAAUAUGCCUACACGUGAUGAGCAGAGAAAGAUGAAGAAAAGAAAGAGGAAUGGCAGCAGCAAGUUGAAGACCAAUUGGAAGACAUAUGAUGUACAGCAGCCAAAAGAAGAAUGAAAAUGAAAAUAAUGAGAAAGAAUGUUGAGCUGCAGCUUACACGUGAAGAAAGCAAAGGAAAGCAUGGGUAUUUGUGUUCAGCCAAAAGAAGAAGGAAUAAAGCGAUGUUGAUGUAAUAUAACCCACGUUGGUGAUGGGUUAAUGGCAGCUGCAAGAGGAUCUCAUUCCUCUAUAAAUACAGAGCAAUGCAAUGGAAGAGGUGUGCAGAAUUUGGGCACCAAAUAGAGAUAGUGUAGUCCAGUGGAGAAAAGACCCUGGGGAGCAGAGAGGCAAGAAACCAGGGGCAUCUGCCAUUUUAGUUUUUCUUUUUUAAGUUUUCAGCUAGUUUAUAGGGAUAAGGAAAAUGCCAAUAUAAUUGGAGAGAACCUUGGGGAGUCGUGAGGCAACGAUCCAAGGGAUUGAUGAUGCAGUUUCUCCUUCUCUUCCAUGUUUUAGUUUUAUUUCUUCUUUGAGUUUUCAUAUUGUUUUUAUUUUCACUUAUAUCUAGCUAAACUCCUUUAUUAAGGUUGAGGGGGAAACACCAUUAUGAAAUAAAGUUUUAGUUUUUAUUUUUCAAUUCCCAACUAUUAUAUUCUUCAAUGUUUAUAAUUUCACUUCACAUGAUUAAUAAAUUAAUUUUCUUUUCACCACUUCGAUCGUGUAUUUGUGGUAGUUCAGAAUUUAAGUUAAUCUAUUAAUGCAUCCUUGAUUUUGUAUUACUAGUAUACACAUAUCUUCGAUCAUUUGUAGUUAAAUAAUAUUUUUCACAUAGGAUGUUCAGAAUUUGUACUUAUGAAGGGAAGGGGAAUUUAUAUAAGAGAAUUUAUAUAAGAUUCAUUAAAAUGCAUGUUUAAUUGAUAUAUCUUGAGAAAGCAGUAAAUUGAUUCCUAGAUUGCUACUCCAGAGAAUUGUUAGAUAGAUAAUUAGAGUUUUAUAGAAUAAUGGCGUGUAAUCUAAAACCUUAGUUAUUUUUCUCAUUCAUUUAAUCCAUUCUAGUUAUUAUUUGCAUUUUUAAUUUUUAUGCUUUAUUUAAUUUUCUUUUCAACCAACAAAUCAACUUUGAAUCAACUAGGUUAGCGAUUGAAUUAAAUUGGGUUGGAUUAGUUUCCAUCAUUUUCACACAAGUAUUAUAAAUUUAAAACAACACAUUUGGGUGGACAACAAGUUUAAAGUAUUUAUAAAAUAAAGCAACAUUAUUUAUAGAGAACCAAUAUGAGUUCUUUCUCUUUUCUUGGAUUUAGGAGCUCCUAAAAGUCUCUCUAUUUUAGAAGGUGGAUAGGGAGCAUGAUUGAAGUUGUAUUUUUCAUAUUCCUCUUUAAAAUUUGUCUAAAGAUAAGGGGAACAAGAUUUGUUAUCCCCAAUUUUCAUGUCCCAUUGUGUUCCUUUUUUAAAAUUUUAACACCUGUCUAAAUAAUUGACAAAACUUUAACACUGUCAAGUUUUAUUCAAAAACCCUAAUAAAUAUAAACAUCGUAAUAGCUCUUCUUCUUCACUUUUAAUCUUCUCUUCACAGCCAAACAUAUCCAAAUUAUCUCAAGGAAGAACCACCACAUAGCUACCAAUGCGAAUCCCUUGUAACCAACCAAAAUCGUUCAUCUUUCCCAUAUGGGAUGAGAUUCAGAAGGUUCUUCAUAGCUUUGAAGUUGAUGACGGCGGAAGAAGACGUAAGCACCUUUGAAAUUGCAACAAAAGCAUACUGCAGAUUUUUCUUGCUAGAAGAUUUGAAAUUAAUGUUUUGUUUUUUGUUUUUUUUGUUUUUUUUUUCACAAAAGAUGGUAUUUCAUUCAACCGAAUUAUGGAAAUAUAUAGAAAAAGAAAAAUACAUUAAAUGUUCGGUAUUUUUUUGCUCAAUUAGUGAUUUUGAUUAAGAUUGAAAAGUAUUAUUUAGACAGGUGUCAAAAUUUUAGAGAAUAAGGAGCUCGCAUUUUCCUUACUUCAAGGCCCAACCUCACUAUUUCAUCUUUGAUCGACGAGUAAUUAUCUAUAUAUAUAUAAAGCAAAAGGUAGAGAAUGGUGAAACAUUUAAAUUACCAGAAAAUGUCCAUAGUUAAUGCAAAUAUUAAGAAUUGAAAUUAUUAAUUAAAUGAGAAUAAUAUGGUAAAUUCACAUUUUUCAUAUUAAAAAAAUUAAAAUUAAAAGAAAAAUCAGAUAAUGGAUCCUAUUUUUAUGAAACACAACUACCCAUUAUUUUUUUUAAUUCUAAAAUAAAUUUAAAUUUAUUGAAAAAAAACCUCUUGCAGGCGCGGAAGCGCUUGUGGAGAGGCUAGUAUUACAAUUAUUAACAUAAUCUAUACCACGUUCCACUAACUUUAUACCACGUCUUUUAAUUUGAUUUUUUCCUCUACUGAUUCAGUGUUACUGUAUAUUACAUAGACACAGUAUCAUUAAUAAUUUGACAAUAUUGUACCGAUAUUUGAUAUAUCGAUCAAAUGUCAAUAAUGUGGUACAAAAUAUUGUAAAUUGUUACCAAUUGGUACGAGUACACCAAUUUACAACACUUGAUACAAUGUUAUUGAUAUAAUUAACAUUGUACUAUGUCAACAAUAUUGUACAAAGUAUUUGCAUGGCGUAAUGUUAUUUGCUAAAGAUAUUUCAAAGAAGCUAACAAGGGCAUUGCUUUGUAAAUCAGUGAUCUCAAGUUCGAACCUUAUGGCACAUUUGUAGUAUGUGCGUGAGAACAGAACAUUUGUAGUAUAGUUGGUCAUCCAAAUAAAAUGAAACCAUAGUUAGCCCAGAUAACAAAACUAUUGUUAAGCACUAACAAAAAGCACCUCCAAACUCAAAUCUUUUCACAAAAGGCAAAAUGAGAACAAAAUCUACAUCAAAUAUUUCAAAAUCAACUUCUCAAACCAAAACAUAACUACAAAAGUGAAAAAAGAAUCUAAUCUAGAAAACACAUACCUCACCAGAUGAAAAACAGAGCUUUGCGUGAGAAGAAGGAAUAUGAGAGAGAGAGGGUGUCAUCAUAGAUGAAGCAAAUAAGGAAUAGGAGAGAGAGAUGGCAUCGUUAUGUCGUCGAUGGAGCGAAGAAGGAAGAUGAGAGAGAGGGCGUCGUCGUCGAUGAAGUUAAUAAGAAAAAUGAGAGAGAGAGAGAGAGAGAGAGAGAGAGAGAGAGAGAGGCUGAGAUCUGGUUUUAAACAAAAGGGUAAAAUUAUAUUCCACCUUUAUAAUUUAGACAGGUCCAAUGAAUAUGGGCCUCUUAUUUAGGCAUAUCCAAAACAAAAUUUGAUUCAUAGGUAUUAAAACCCAAACAAAAAUUUCUCAAAUCCUAAUUAGUAAAGAUUGUAAUGCCUAAUACCUAAUUUUUCUUAACUUUUAGGAUAAUGCUAUAUGGCACAUUUUUAAUACCAUCUCACCUGGCAGUUGAGGUCGACAUUCAACUCAUUUAAAUUAUAUGUAUAUAUUUUUUAAGAUAUCAGUUUCUUAUAAUUUUCAUUAAUUCAAAAACUUAACCCUGGAGACUUUUCAAUUUCAUGUUAUCUGUUGGCCUCCCUAAAUUCACUCUCUUCCUUUGCCGUCGAUUCGCCACAUCUUCUGUCACAUUCCGGGAUCGGCUCCGCCGUAGCAUGAUAUUGUCCUCUUUGGGCCCCCCUCUCUGCCCUAACGGUUUUGUUUCUGGCCCCAACUCGCUUAACUUCAGAGUUCCCAUGACUUCGAAGCCAGUGAGCUCCCAAAAGGCCUCGUGCUAGAUGAAGGUGGGCAUGUACAUAUAAGGCACAUCACCCCCUCUCCAUUGGUCGAUGUGGGAUGUUAUAAUCCACCCCCCUUAGAGGCCCGAUGUCCUCGUCGGCACACUAGCACCACACAGCAGAGUGACUCUGAUACCAAAUUGUCACAUCCCGGGAUCGACUCCAUCGUAUCACGAUAUCGUCCGCUUUGGGCCCCCCUCUCUGCCCUCACUGUUUUGUUUCUGGGAACUCACGAGCAACUUCCCAGUGGGUCACCCAUCCUGGGAUUGCUUUAGCCCCAACUCGCUUAACUUCGGAGUUCCCAUGAUUCCAAAGCCAGUGAGCUCCCAAAAGGCCUUGUGCUAGAUGGAGGUGGGCAUGUACAUAUAAGGCACAUCACCCCCUCUCCGUUGGUCAAUAUGGGAUGUUACAGCUCCACUCCCUCCACCUUUAAUUUUUUGUUAGUCCACCUUUGAGCUGAUGUCUAUAGUCUAUGGUCAAUGGUCAGUCCCGGCCCUGCCCAGGGGCAGUUAAUGCGACUGCCCAGGGCCCAUUAUUCAAGGGGGCCCCAAAUUUUUUUAAUUAUGAUAAGUGUUAUAUUAUAUUAUUAUAAAUUGAUUUAAUAUUUUUCCAUAAUUUUUAGGAAUAAGAUAUUGAGAUGAAUCUGAAAUUUUGGAACAAAGGAUCCAUGACGAGAGUUUUAAAAGAAAUUCUUUGAUAUUGGCUUGACUUGCAUUCUUGAAAUUCUUUGACUCACUGGUAUGGUAUCCAUAGUUGGACAUUUGUUUUCAUUAUUUAGGAAUAUGGAAGACAUUGCUCAAAGUCUAAAAGUAUUUUCAAAUAAAUACUUUCUCAAAAAACCCAAUGCUUAGUUGAUAAAACAAGAAGUAUACUAGUAUUAGUGAUUAAUGUGUAUAUGGCACACUUUAGAUUUUCGCCUUAGGCCUUUGAAAACUCAGGACCGGCCCUAUCAAUGGUAGGGUCAUAACACUGCUCCUUGCAUCACCAGCUCCGACCACCUCUAUUACCUCUCAUAGAAAGAUGGAUGAUGUUGAUCAUGAUAUGGGUCUUGAUCAAGCAGAUUUGUAGUUGUGAUAACAUGUGUACUGACCAAAAAGCCAAGGAGGAGAAAGCCUUGCAACGGCGAAGAGGCAAUGGAUCGGCUACAUAGGUCUGGCAGAGUGUCGCCGAUGGAGAGGAGAGGAAGUAGGGAGAGAUGGAAUUGGGGGAGGUCGACAAACAACGUGAAAACUAAAGAGUCUCUAAUCCAGUAGGGUUAGUUUUUUUAAUUAAUGAAAAUAAUAAGAAAUUGAUAUGUCAAAAAAAAAAAACUAAUAUAAUUUUAAUGAGACUACUACAAAAAUUGAAAUAGACGACGGUGUCUUUGAAAACCGUUUUUAAUUCGACCACAAUCUUUUGGAAUGUCAAACUACGACGGUGAUUAACCGUCGUCUAUUAUUUGUAAAGACGACAUUUUUACUCAAAACUGUCGUCUAUUAAAGACAACGGUUUGUCUAAUAGAACCGUUGUUUAUUAUAUCGAAAGACGUCGGAUUUACUGUCGUCUAUUAAUUGAAAAGACGACAAUUUCUUUAAAUAUUGUCAUCUAUUAACUCUAAGACGACUGUUAUUAAUUGUAAAACUGACGUAGUAAUUUUAAAUUUUAGCUUCUUUUUUUCUUGUUUCCAAUGGUAUCAGAAAUCUAUACUCAAAUAUGCUAUUACCACACCAGACAUAUAUAUAUAUAUAUACUCAAAAAUUGUUUCUUUCAUAAAUAGUAUAUCAAGAGAACAAUAGAACAAAAUAAAAUCUAAAAAAUGAAAGCACUCUAGGGUCGCUAGUUGCUAGCUGCAAGCUACAAGCCUAAUUACAAUAAUACACAAAAAUUCAUAUACCUAAUUAUCCUUUAAGUCAAGUUCUCCAUGUGUAUAUAGAGCAAUACACUCAUCAUCACCAAUUUUCCUCUGCAUUCUAUCUGAACUUCAUCACUUUGUUCUUGGGUGUGUGAGUUAUCUACCUUCUUGCACAUUUUUUCAUAGGCACAAUAAGACACAAGCUUGUACAAAAAAUUAGUGAUUUUACAGCAAGAAAAUAGUUAGGUCUUCGCUCGAAGUGAAAGCCAAUAAAAACAAAACAUUACACCAAUAAAUAAAUGAGGGCCUAUAUAGCAUAAAACAUGGUUAACAUAACUAAUUUAUUAUUAUUAUUAUUAUUUUGAAAAAGAUGCUUUGUUUAAAAAUAAUAAGCACCACAAAAGUGUACAAAAGAUAGUAUUGAAAUAAUUAAUAUUAUCUAAAAUUUAAGCAUGAGAAAAAAGAAUAAAGGGAAACAACAAGAAAAAAAAAAGAAAAAAAAGAAAGAAGAGAAAGCCUGAACACCCCCCUUAGUUCUGCCCAUCAAAGAAAAGAAAACUAUAUAUUCAUUAUUCAUACCUUGUUUACCGACUACAAUUUCUUUUUGUUGGAUCAUAUGUUUACCGACUAUAUUGUAGACCGCUUUUGUAAUAGUACGAGAUGGUAUCAAAAGUAAGCAUGCAUGCAUAUGUCCUGAUUAUUUUAUGUUGUCCAACAUGUAGCACUGGAUGACGGCAAGAAAUCAUAAACAUUAAAUUAACCUACUCUUGGCAAAAGCUAUAACAGUAUAAACGAAAGUAUAUUUGUAUCAGAUUCUUUUCAGCGUACACAACACAGAUUUUGUGUUCGUCAGUCCACAGCUCUUGCUUGAUUCUAGUGUCUAGUGUGCUGAGUGGAAAGAUGCACAGCUAGUUUAACUUGUUGUCCACCCAAAUGUGUUGUUUUAAAUUUAUAAUACUCGCAAGCAUACAAAUCGACUGUAGAAUAGGCGUGUAUAAGUGUGACAGGAAGUGUGUGAAAAUGAUGGAAAACUAAUCCAACCCAAGUUAAUUCAAUUACUAACCUAGUUGAUUCAAAGUUGAUUUGUUGGUUGAAAAGAAAAUUAAAUAAAGCACAAAAAUUGAAAAUACAAAUAAACUAGAAUAGGGAUUAGAUGAAUGAGAAAAAUAACUAAGGUUUUAGAUUUCACACCAUUAUUUCAUAAAACUCUAAUUAUUUAUCUAACAAUUCCCAUGGAGUAACAAUCUAGAAAUCAUGUUAUUGAUAUAAUUGAAAAUUUUACUCUAUCAAUAAUAUUGUACAAAGUAUUUGCGCGGUGUCAUGUUAUUUGCUAAAGAUAUUUCGAAGAAGCUAAUAAGGGCAUUGCUUUGUAAAUCAGUGAUCUCAAGUUCGAAUCUCAUGGCACAUUUGUAGUAUGUGCGUGAGAAAUCCUGUCUUUCUUGUAAUUUAGACUAUCGCUUAAUUGUAUUUGAAAAACUUAGAUAUUUUGAAGAAAAUAGAACAUAAAUUAAAAGGGGAAGAAAAGCGUAGUUUAUAUAUAAUAACAACACAAAUGACACCGGAUGCUUUACAUGAGAAGAGCACAUUACUACUGCUAUAGUCGAAACCGAUCCGUACAUCACAGUGACAUUACAAGAAAUUAAACACACAUAACACAUCUCUUAUUCUACGUAAUGACAUGAACUUAGCAAGCUAGUCAUUCAUGCAUGCAUGAUCAGAGCUAGUCAUUCAUGCAUGCAUGAUCAGUUUCAGUUGGGAAAUGGAAGUUUGUGAGGUGGCUUGACAGGGCCAGUUGGGGGCUUUAGUUUCCUCGGUGGCUUUGAUGGGUCUCUUCCACCCUCCACCACAUUCUGUUCAAGAUGGCGAUCGUGAUGAGGUGGCUUGUCUCCCUUGCCCUUAGGAGGCUGAUCAACUGGCUUGGGCUCUGGCUUGGGCUCUGGGAAUGGCUUGUGCUCAUCAAGUGGGGUUGGUGGCUUGGGUUUUGUGGGUGGCUUCGGCUUCUUUCCCUGAGGAGGCAAUUUCCCAUCCAAUGGCUCCUCUAGCAAACGAGUUCUGGUUUCUUGUUUGUGAUGAGGCGGUUUCUCACCCUUUGGAGGCUGAUCAACUGGCUUUGGUUCUGGCUUGGGCUCUGGCUUGGGCUCUGGGAAUGGCUUGUGCUCAUCAAGUGGGGUUGGUGGCUUGGGUUUUGUGGGUGGCUCCGGCUUCUUUCCCUGAGGAGGCAAUUUCCCAUCCAAUGGCUCCUCUAGCAAACGAGUUCUGGUUUCUUGUAUGUGAUGAGGCGGCUUCUCACCCUUUGGAGGCUGAUCAACUGGCUUUGGUUCUGGCUUGGGCUCGGGCUUGGGCUCUGGCUUGGGCUCUGGGAAUGGCUUGUGCUCAUCAAGUGGGGUUGGUGGCUUGGGUUUUGUGGGUGGCUUCGGCUUCUUUCCCUGAGGAGGCAAUUUCCCAUCCAAUGGCUCCUCUAGCAAACGAGUUCUGGUUUCUUGUUUGUGAUGAGGCGGCUUCUCACCCUUUGGAGGCUCGUCGUUGCCCGGGUUUCCUUUGUGCUCUGGUGGUGGCUUCUCUCCUUUUCUUGGUGGCUCAUCUCUUGGGUGUCCUGGUUCAUGCUCAGGUGGUGGUUUCUCUCCUUUUCUCGGUGGCUCAUCUCCCGGGUGCUCAGGUGGUGGCUUCUCAUCCUUGUGAGGCUCAUCACCUGGUUUCUCCUUUGGUGGUGGCUUUUGUCCCUUAGGAGGCUCAUUGUUCUCUGGUGGAGGCUUUUUUCCCUUUGGAGGCUCAUUGUUCUCUGGUGGAGGCUUCUUUCCCUUUGGAGGCUGGUCAUUGCGCUCUGGUGGUGGCUUUUGUACCUGGGGAGGCUGGUCAUUGCGCUCUGGAGGUGGCUUUUCUCCCUUGGGAAAUUGGCCCUCCACCUCUAACAAAUGGUGUUCGUUGUGGGGUGGCUUGUCAACUGGUGGAGGCUUGUAAAUUGGGGGUACGGAAAUUGGAGGCUUGUAGAUUUGUGGCUUUGGGUCAUGGUUAUCAGCAAGAGAAGGAGUU